CAAAAGCAAUGUUGAGACAAACGUUGAAGCUAACGGCUAACAGCUACAGGGGAACUGGGGCUGAACCCCCGCCAAAGCCACACCUGAGAGCCCGGUCAGGUGACUAGUAGACCUGGGCCUAAAAGUCAGAGAUGCCCAGCCAGGCCUCUGUGGUUCAUUCGUAUUGAAGGUAAGCGCAUAUUUUCUCAGCCUAAGCUCACGUUUGACUGGAUUUUGAUACAUGCACUGCGCUUGAGGUGGUGGAAAUUACAGUAACAAACCAGUGUUUCUGAGAUGGAGUCAUGCCUGCGUGUGCGUGGGCUUCACGUCUCAACUAGGCAGAUUUGUGCUGCAGAGCAGUUGUUGCUGUAUUGUGGAGCUGUCUGAGUGGCCUUAUGGUAAACAGUAGCAGCCUUGGUAAAAUGUGUGCAUAUGCAGUAGUUGACACUGGAGCACUACCUACUGUAUAUAUGUGUGUGUGUGUGUGUGUGUGUGUGUGUGUCUGUCUGUGUGGGUAUUUUUCACUCUGAAUAACCCAACCAGUUCUUCCAUCAUCUGUUGUACUCAGAGACUGCCAACAGCCUAGAGCAUCUCUCCAGCCUUCUUGCUGACUUUUUGACCUCUUGAGUAGAAGACGCCGCUGCAGCAAGUCUAACGUUGCAUUCAGGUGAUCAUCGGAGCUCAGCGAUCUCCAUCGCUUAAGAUAGAGAACUGAAAUUACACUUCUCCAGUUUGUCUUGCAAGAUUAAAACAAGCAACAAACAAGAAAAAUAUUAUUGGCUAUGGGAAAUAUACUUGAUGCAAACUGAGUAAGAAGACUAAGAAAAUCUAGAAGUGGUACACAAAUGCUCUACCCAAGUAAAUCUUUUUUUUACUUAGAUUGAGUAUAUAGCUGAGCCUAUGUCAAAACAUUAUUUGUACUGCUGCAUUACAUCCUACAUAACAUUAGAAAUCAUAACUAAUAGAGAUGUUUUAAAACACUUUUUUCGGAUUCCUGGAUUAGAUACUAAAUAUUCAGAGAGUGGGUCAGAAAACCUUCAUCUUCUGUAACAUUAUCAGUCCAGGAGCAGCCUGUCAUACUCCAUAUAGACAGCCGUCUGAUGCUCUGUUUUUGUGCAGAAAAAUUUCUUUUAAACUCAGUGGAGAUAAGAUUGGUAAGAGGCCAGAAGAGGUAUGGGUGUAGUUUAGUCUUACUGAUACCAGUAUAUCUCCCUACACAUGAACACUACAGUGCUAAAGUCCAGCGUCACUUUGCUCUAUCUUCUGUCACACACACAGCAGAGUUUUUAAGUCUCAUAAAAAAGUGCUUUGCACUGUGAAUUUCCUUUCUAUAUCAUACUUUCCAACAGGACUAGUGGGUCUAAAAUGGACACAUAAAAAGAUUAAAAGGACUCUGUAUAUUUAACCAAAUUACAUUAAAGCUUAAAUGGAUUUGCAAUGAAACCCUCUGCUUCAAACCCCUGUCUGUGAAAUCCAUCAUGGUUUUCACUAGCUUUCCCUGGCGAUUAGCAUUGGCUGGAGCGUCGGCGAGCCCUGCAAAUCAAAACCAUACUCAUUCUGGCCCGACACGCUGGUGUGCUCGCAGAAAGUGUCUCAGCGGCUAACCCUGUGAUUUAUAAACGUUUACCUCACCACAGUGGCCAAAUCAAAGGUUCGGGAAAAGAGAACAAAUUAACAGAAAGGUAUUUAGCUUUUCUAAGAGACUUUAUUUUCAAAGCCACAGUAUUCAUAAAGCCACAGUGCAUCAUUAUGUUUUUAUAGCUGUAUAAACUAUAAAGUUACCUUGUAAUUUCAUGGUUAGGGACGUAGUAAUUUGGAGACCCCAGUUUUUGUUUGGCUUUGUUUGUUUGUAUUUUUGUGUGAGAAGUUAUGUAUGUUUUCAAAAGCUCAUUUUCAUAGGAUGUGGGUUUUUCCAGACAUUACAUUUGUGCCUAGAAAGCACAUGAAUGUGCAGAGACAGGUGUGCGACGGAUGUUGACUCUUAAGCCUCAGAUUUCAGCUUUGUAAUAUUUUUAACCAGCACUGUAUUUAGAUUGUGCCAAAGCAAUAGUGUUCACUCUGUACAAGCCCAAUAAAUGAUAGUCCCACUUUUUAGCACCUCAGAAUGUGCACUAUUUUCUCCCGCAUGAUAAACGGCAAGGUUUACAGGGACCCCUCCCAUCAAGCUCAAAGCAGUAAGCUCAAAUGCAGUUUGAAUAUCUCAUUGCUUUGUUGAAGAUUUUAAGCUGAUUAUCAAACUUUUAGAUUUAAAUGUCACAAUCAACCGUGGAAACUUGGGGUGUCCCGAUACAACUUUUUGACUUCCGAUACGAAACUGAUAUUGUAGCCUUCAGCAUCGCCCGAUACCGAUAUUGAUCAGAUAUUGGCACAAACUUGUGCAUGACAAGUUUUACACUCAGUUGCAAUGUCUUAUUCAGACUUUAACAAAAAAUACUGCCACACAGCCAACAUCACUCUUACUCCUUGCUACUUGUUUGUACCUUAGUACAUACUGUUGUUGUGAUCACGUGGGCUCUGCAUGCUGGAUCUGGGCACUGCUAGCUAGAGGUGCUGAAGUGGAGUCUGGAAUGGCCUGCUUGUAUUGGAGUGCUGAUCUCAAAGAUUUUAGAUGCAGGCCGAUAUAAUCCGAUAUUUGUUUAUUGGCUGAUAUUGGACCAAUAUCCGAUAUCAAUAUCGCAUUGGGACAGCCCUAGUGAAAACUCAGGUGAACAGUUGAUGAUACGAUAUGAUAUGAUAGGGAAGACAUAAACAGAAACAAAUAUUUAACAGCCUAGGAGCUUUUAUCCUUCAAAGGCCGAUAGAUGAGGGCAAUCCAUCCGAGUACUAUGCACUUAAGUCACUGUCCUGCCUGUUUUGGGUGAAAGUAGUCUAUCUGUAUGGACUGCCAGCAAAUGCAAGCUCUAGGUCUUGAGGACUAUAAUAGUACUCACUUUUUUAUAAUGAGAGAUAUAAGUGGGGAAUUGCUGUGAUUUUCUCACCAUGGCUUUGGUGGCAGAGACAACUUGUAGUUCCUGCUCCCUAAGCGUUCCGAACAGCGCUUGAGGCUAUGUUAUUUUUCACCACAUUACCACGCUGUAUAAUACCGGAUCUUCUAAUGAGGAAAGACGAUUUAAAAGUGACGACCUGACUUAUAAACCGAGUAAAGUAAACAGAUGAAUGAUAUUAUAUCGGUCUAGGAUGGGGUUGUUCUUCCUCUGGUAGAGGCAGAGAAGAAAAAAGUUUUGUUAAUGGAAGCUUAUCAAAAGAGUCGUGAUUUAUGUGUUUACCCAAGGGGGGUCAGGGGAAGAGGGGGGUAGCAUUUUGCCACUGUUAAUGUGAGGGACAAACAACAGGGCUCCCACCCUUACAACAGUUGACCUACAUUGAUUACCUUUCUUGUAUUUCUUGGCUUGUGCAAGUGUGACAUUUUCUCAGCAGCCCACCGUUUUUAUCAAAGGUCCUCUCUUUUGUGUAAUUCCACCCUGAGAUUAGAAAUCAUAGGAAGUCAUUUUCUCCAAACCCCUUUUGUAAAUCUAAAAGAUUCUUUUUUUGUUCGACUCCGUAGACUUGCACAGCUUUUACCCUCAAGGCUUCAAGCUGAAGCUGUUAUCGAAACCAUCACAAAAUGAGCUCAACAACAGGAAACGCUUUUGUUUGUUCUUUGCCAAAAUGACAGCCAAAAAUUCAAAAAGUAAAGCUUUUGCCAAGGGGAAUUUUCUCUCUACAGUAUUCCCAUGACCUCUGAGGAAAGAGUUUUAAAGAAACUUCGGAGUGAAAAGGAGAGAAAAGAUCAGAUUGUUUCCAGAUGACAUAAAGUAACAGGUGACUUUUUAUGGAAGAGAGGAAGGAAUAGCUUUUCUAAUCACAGUUUUUCCACCAUCAGAGCCAAGAGAAAACAGAUGCGUACGUUUGUUUAAAAUGUAGUAGGAAAUUUCUAGAAUUUUUCAGGAGCAUCUGCCUCAUAAUUUCCUAAAGUUGCUCCCUCACAGUGUAAAGAGGAUGCUGAGUUACCCUUUGUGUUUUUUCCAAGAUAACAGGUGAAGCAAAGUCUGACUUAAGGAUGGUUUUCAUGACCACUUUUUGCUUUAAUUCCUGUGGGAUCACUGCACCACAUCUCACUUAAUUUUUUAAUUAGCAAAGGUGGGGCUGUAAAUGGUCUUAGAAUACAUCAUCUGCACCUCUGUCUGAUAUUUGAAUGUGUUUUUGGGAGUGGGGUGUGUUAAACAGCAGCAGAAAAGAGCUGAUCCAUACAGUCACUUUCUGAUGGGUAUUUUUCCAAGCACUGGUGUGUGUCUUUACAAUAUCAAAAGUAGGGUGUGCACAAAGUAGAUUAGUUGACCGGCUAGCAGUUUAUCCUCAGUUUUUCUGUCAGCUAUUUUUCAGUAUUUUACUCUUUAUGAAACACAGAACAGCCUUAGAAAAACAGGAAAUGUGGGGAAAAGUGAGUAGGGGGUGGCACACUGUAGAGAGCCGGGAGUCUAUUACAGUGUCUGUAUUUGUGGAUCACGCCUUAACUGCUGGGCUAAACUGGCGCCCCAUCAUUAUCGUCAAUUUUGGAUGCGGGGUAUUUUUCAAGUCAUUAUUCUGAGAAAAUUGUCAAAAAAGAUACUUUGGGACCAGCUUCUUAAAUGUUAACUUUGCUGCUUUCCCCCCUCUGGCACUAAAAUAAAUAAUCCUGUGUGUUUUUUUUUUUUUUUUAAAUCUACUCUGAUGAUGGACAUUAAUGUUACCUUCAUAGACCAAAGGAUGUCUUUCAAAAAGGCUGCUUUUGGGGUGACUGAUAAUAAGGACAUUCGCCGGUUUUAGCCCAGUGAGGGUAAUUGGAUGACAGUUUUUAUAUCCAUGUCAUUAAAGCUUUUCAGGCAAUUCAUUUGCUUAAUUCAGUGUCACAAAUCUGUGGGUAAAUAUCCACACCAUUAUAUAAAGCAAGUGGUCCUUGAUGUUGCCUAUUUUGUCCUACCAGCAGUCCAAAAUGAAAGAGAUAAAUAAGACAUUAAAUAAAUAAAACAAAAUACAGCUUAUAUAUCACAUGGCAAAGUUAAAAAGGUAAAAAAUAUUUUGUUUGCAGAGCUAGAACCAGUGAAAUUUUACAGUUUUGCCAGAAAAUCUGUCAAUGCAACGACUAAACCAUGAGAAUAAAUCUACUCCUAAUGUCGUCUGUAAAUAACAGGUUCAGUUAUAAAAACUUAUAUCUUUAAUUACACAGAAAGAAGGGCUGUAAAUGAAAAUGACUCAAAUCAUGAUUGUGAUCUUAUCAUAUGUCAAUACUCAGUUAAUCAAUUCAAUGUAAAAACUACGAGAUGUCAUUAAGUAGAAGCUUUAAAUUGGUUCAGUUCAACAGGGUAAAAGCAUCAUAGGUAAAACAGAGAUAUAAAACAUGUUAAUUUAAGUAAAACAAAGCAGACAUUUACUCAGUAGUUGUUUUUUGAAUGUAUUGAAGAGUAGAAGGGCACAAGCUGACAUGCAUCGGUCUAAUACAAUUGUUUCCUGAACUACAAGUGUUGCUGGAGCUCUUUUGACCUUUUCUCUCCAUGCACCUUGGAAGUUGGUGAAGUUGUGCCAGACCUCCUGACCUCUGUUUUUUAAAUGUAGAAAUGAUUAUUGAUUUUGCCAUAAGUCGUGGGCUCAAAGAAUCUCAAUUGUAUCCAGGCAGUACCUGAUCAUUGCCAGCAGAGGGUACUAGUUCACUAACCAAGUUGGUUGUGACUGCCUCGCUUUGGAUCUAAAUAACUCUCUUCACCACCAGAUGAGAGGCAGUCAUAGAGCACCGGGAUUUAAACCCACAUAUAAAUUACCGUCUGAUUUAAUAUUCUAACCAUAUCCGCUGGGGAGAAAAGGGCAAACUAUGUUUUAAACAAAUACAGGAAACUGAAAAAAGGGGAAAAUGUGUUUUAAAAACGUGUAUAAGAACAGCACACAGAGAAAGAAAGUGAACAUUUGGAUUUAAGAGAGGUUUUCUUGGCAUGUGCAUGAGCCUGUAUCGGUUUCCUGGCUGUGCUGUCAUUAGCUGAUAGUGCUAAAGCAGCUGUGAGGAAGCAGAGGUGAGCCAAGGAGCUCGUAAAUCUUCCUCAGCUCUCAGUAGUGUUGGCUCACUGACCAAGUGACAGCACUUCAAAGAGAACCCCUGUCUUCAGAUGAACUUGUUGCCUUCACUGAUACAGGUUUGGCUUGGCCAGCUGUUUCAACUGUGAAUGUGUGAGUCGGUGGGUGUGUUUGUGUUUGUGUGUGUUUGUGUGGGGGGUUUAGUCUUGAGAGGGGGCCCACCAACCAGGAGCUUUGACUGACACCUUUUGGAUGAGGCACCGGUGUGUGUUUCCUUUGAAAAUGUUGGUUUUGAGGGUCCUUGUUUUGCAUGUAAACAUAAAUUUACUGCUCAUGGUCAUUUUCAGAUGCCUAAAACUGCAGUAUGAUUUAGAUAUCUAAGAAAAGUGAACAUCUUCCAACAGAAAUCAAUGCGCACUGAGGGAAAGUGGCAGUUAUUCACAGUUUUUUAUUCCUCAAUAUUCAAUAUUUAUUUAAUGAAUUGAUAUUAUAGUUGUUUUAGCAAUGAUCAUGUUUGCAGGUUGUAGUCUUCAUUAGCUACAUUCAGCUGUAUUUAUCUUCAUCAGACUUUUCUUAAGUCAUCUUAACAGAUGGCAUAUUUGGCAAGUAGUUGCCAGUAAUGUAGAGUACAUGUGAUGUUUGGGCAAAAAACUGUAUCAUGUAGCUUCAAAGACAUGAACCAAUUUGGAAAUCUUUUAAAGACAAGUUAAAGUACUAAAUUUAUCAUUGAAGAGUAAAAUCAUAAAAUAUAUAAUAAUACAUGGGGAUGGAAAAUCAUUUUAUGCCAUUUUGUCUCAAAGUGAGUCACACCCAUUGGGAAAGCACAGAAUCAUUUCCAAAAAAAGGCUGCCGCACGAGGUCUGCAGCCUGUGAUGUGAAAGACUGGACUUGACGGCUGAGAAAACUUAGUUUCGGUUGGAAUAGGUGCAGAAGUUUUAUAAGAAAAUUGAAGUUGAUCUAUCUUAUUCAAGACUGUACACUUUAUAGAACAAUCUUUUCUGACUCAAAGUUUGACAAAAAUGAGCUCCUGUCAAAAGACUGAAGGAUUUUAUCCUUUGAAUAAAACUGACCCUUUUAGCUCUGCAGUUUCAGAAAAAAGAUCUGUGCGCUGAUUUUUCCGAGAAGCAAAAGUACCUGUAUGCAAUCACAAGAUCGAGGUCAAAACAUGCACCAGAAGAAGCUGAGUUUUGCUUUUGUUUUGUCUCUGAUUUUACCAAGUGUACUAUUUGACUUCCACUUGUUGUGAAAGUGGUCCAGACUGAUCAUGUGUUUGGGGGCCUAAAGGGUUUCAGAGCAUUCCAGAAACAGCAGCGUCCUUCCAAUAUCUUCUUGGCAUUACUCUUCCUUUAUGAGAUCUAUCUGUGUGCUAACUUUGAUCUCUCUACUUUCCCAUCAGUCUCUCUCCCUCCCUCCCACUCUCAUCUCACCCCUUUUCUUCCUUCUCCUUCUUUUCUCUCUUCCUAUGUCUCGUGUUGGUUGUCUUUCCGUGUCAGAGACUAAGCAAACAGAGUCGUGUGUGAGUGGCCUCAUAACUCCUCGUUCCUGAGAGUGGGAGCUCUCAGACCGGAGCAGCUGUGUCUUCAUUUGUCGGCCAUGUUCGGCAUUCUCCAGAUAUCUCCAGGGGGCUCCUGGGCUUUUUCUGUGUUCUGGUCUGACCUCAUGCCCCUGUGUGAGACUGUGUGGAAAGCAGGCAAAGUGGGACACAACUUCAUGUAGACUUAAAAAAAAAAACCCUGAGACACAUAAAAUAGUAUUACCCAGCCACUUAGGUUUGGUUUGGCUGUAUGGUUUUUAAAUAUCAAUCACAGCGUAGAUCGCAACAAAAGUUUUCUAAAUCAGCCUCAGACCCUUUUUGGGCCAACGUCACAGUGGCGUCACUCUUUUAGGACAAGAAAAUUCAACAAUGUGCAUUCUGACUUUCAUUGGGACUCUGGAGCUCACAUUAUGUCUUCCAUCUGUUACCAUUAAAACCAAUAAUCAUCCGUAUUAUUUUAUUAUAUCGUUGCACUUUUUGAUUCUGCAUAGCUACAAAUCAGUGCCUCACAAUCAUCAUGUAAUGUUGCAGCCGGGGAAGCACUAAAGCAAGAAAGAGGCCGAAAAGAAAACAAGUAUCAUAAGACAAGAAGAAACAGAGUAACAUAAAAGGAAGAAAAGCAAGGUGAUAGAGCAGAGAGCAAAUGGUGUGUGAGUGUGAAAAAGAGUGUGUGAAGAAACAGAGAUGAAGAGAAAGUGAGGAGAUCUGUGCAGGCUCCUCUCUCAUGCUAGCUAACGCAGAUAACAGCAGGAGGUGAGCAUGUGUUUUCUUCAGCUCAGUCAGAGGAGGUUUGCACUCACUCUUCUUCCCCCCUCCUCUUUUUCCUCCCCUUCUUGCAGUUCCCCUUGACCCCUCUACUCCUCCACCUUGCAGGCGUGAAUCAUCUGACAUGCACACAUCUUUGUCCACACUCUUCCUCCCCCCACUCAUCCUCUCUAUCUCUCCAUAUCUUCUCCUUUCAUUCAGGAUCCUUCUUUCUGUCCUCUCCACUCUCUCUCAUCUGUUUCUCGGUGCAUCUGGCGAACAUGAGCUGUGGAAAGACAACAGACAAGUAAUGGGAGAAGUGUGUGGGUGAGUGUGAGUGUGUGCGUAUGUCAUGUGGGGGAGGCUGUACACAUGUGCAUGUGUGUGCAGAAGCACAGAUGACAAAGGCAACCCUGGGUCUUUGUCAACUAAAUCUCAUCUGAAGUGUUUUCAUAUGAGCUUCGGGUUCUGUACUGACACUGAACCAACACCCACAAAACCACUGACCCUUGAGAUGCUAAGCUGUUCAAUGAGGACUGCUGAAAUCUGUCAAUAUGCACCAAUAUAUCAUAAUAACAUAAAACAUACUCUGUGUUUUAAUGGCAUAAUCAUACAGCAGUAAAUGGUUGGUUUAAAGGGGACUGAAUCAACUUGCCUGUAAAAGUGCUUAAUCUCCUCUUAAAGACUCUUAAAUAUUUUAUGUGGAAUCUGGUUGUUAGUAUGGGAAGUCUUCUGGUUUUCACUUGUAGUAUGCUUGUGGUCCAGUCAGCACUGGUAUAUGCAAAACAGUCCCACUGGAGAGGGAAAGCAAGCAGAACACAAUCUAUAACAGGGUCAGCUGGGUCCCCAUACUUGAGAAUCUCAGAUUGUUAGCUGCAAGUGCAGAGCAAACAGUCUGUUUGAGUUUUUUUUUAUUCCUAUACAGUUGAAGCAAAGAAAUUUGCUUUACCCUUUCUUGAAUUAGCCAGUCAGCUGCUAGGUUUGCCAGCUACCUGCAACACAUCAACAAUUCUGUCUGACUUUCCUUCACCAAAGACACUUUUUAAAAUGUGUCCUUCUUUUUUGCAGAUGUACUUUUCAACUACAACCUUUGUUAGCAUGUCACCAGAGGCCCCAAGCCUCAAUGGGGCCCUAAGCAAAAUUGGAUUUUAGGGCCCUCUAUUUCUGCCAAUAAUAUUGAUUCAUGAUCAUUCACACACCUACACAAAUCUCUUUGAUUAACAUUCCAUGACAUGCAAACAUACCUUUAUCUUAGUGUUUUUUCUCUUCUUCCUUGAUCUUUUCUCUGCUCCUGAAGGAUAUGUCCUUUUUUGCAACAUUGUUUUGCCCCACAACUACCUGUACUUUAGAUGCUGAGUGCACAUUGCACAGCAGGAGGUUCAUAACGGUAGCAGAGCUUUGACAUAUCAACAGUAAGAAUCAUAGGCCUACAUCAGCAGCAGCACUAAAAUGUUUUUAUUUUAUUUUAUUUUUACAAUAAUAUAUAUUUGAUCAUACAGAAAGCAUCACUCAUACAUGCAAAAAAUAAAAAUUAUUUGGAAAAAAUAUAUAUUUUUGAUUGCUUUUGGCGGCCCCCUAAUGACUGCAAGGCCCUAGAAACUAUAAUCAUUAAAAAGGCCAUAUUACAAUGAUUGUAACCAUCAGUUGCCCGAAGAGGCAUUAAUAGGAAUCUUUGAAUUGAAGAUGGGCCGUAAUAUCUUAAUACUCAAAGAGAUAAAAUCACUUAUUGAAGCUAAAAAAUGAACAUGACAAAUACUUGAGAGAUCAGUCAGGCCAAAAUAACCAUGCAUAAUAGACGUCAAUCUCCACAUAGUAAUGGCUUUUAUCAUUAAGUUGCUGCAAGUGCAGUUUGAUAUCAGCAUUAAAUAUCAGCCAUUAGUUGACCUGCUGUACAUUUAAUGUCAGCAUCAGUAUCAGUUGUAGAAAACCCAUUUGGGCGACCACUAGUUACAUUAAUUUGUGAAUAAGUACCAUGGUGGACCACAUAAACGAUGACCCUAAUUACAAGACCCUCCCUUUGAGACUAGUUCUUGAAAAAUACACCUUCAGAACCUAAUCUGUUUGGUCAAAGAAAACAAACUCACUUUGCAGUAAUGAUAAAACAAACACAUAGAUUCUUAUAUCUUUGUCACAUUUCAUGUCAUGUGUGUAAAUGAGCAUUUAUGGUAUCUGUAUUUUAUUACUUUAGUAUUAGCUUAUAUUUGGGCUUACCAUUGUAUUUCACCAAGCCCAGAACACAGACUCUAGCUGUUUAAUAGCUCUGCUGCAAUCAUAAACAUCUUUCAAAGGUCAUCCUGACUCCAACUCAGUUUUUGGUAAACUUGUCUUACUCUGUGCUGUUUUGUUCCCCAUACCUCUCCAACUUCAAACACUAAACCCUGACUAUAACACAGUCACACUUUUUGACAAUAUCAUUUGCAGAACUCUCCGCCUCUCUCUCCAUCUUGUAUUCAUAUCAGUAUGGUAAUUAAAGUGUAUUAAAUACUGACUAAGAGCUUGAGUAAAUGCCAUCCAACACUGAGAUACAACUUCCAAAAUGCAUCCACAGUAUGCAUGAAUAUUUUUUGGUAGAUUAAUCUAGCAACUGGAUAAAUAUAAAAAGCUUUUAGGAAGUCAAAUGAACUGAAACUGCACUGAAAUGCUGUGUUUCUUUGACCUAUCAUCUUUGUAGACAUACAGCAGUAGAUAAUUGUGAUAAUUGACAAUGACGUAUACAGUAAACAGUUGUUUCUCUGUGCCUCUUAGACCUCUGACACAAAGACUUUUGAGCUGGGGCAUAUGAAGUGCUAUUUUGUGUAAGACUCUAUUCAGUGUCUGUACUUGGAGCAUUAACAUUUCACAGUUAUGUGCUGCUAAUGAAUGUUUGGUUUGUGGUUGAGGCCGAGCAGAUGCCAAGGUCUUGGAUGUUCUUGGAUGGUCUGCUCAUGACCAACAGAUACACAGUUUAGCUGUACUGUGAGUAACACGAUAACCCGAUAGUCUAAUUUGCUAAAAAGUAACAUCUGUCAAGCAAAAAAACAUCAUCUAAAGUGUAAACAGACCAAAGUUGUACUGGUUUCUCUUGGAGGCAGUUUGGUGGUUAAUCCUCUCAGCACACCUACAAAACUGCACAAGCCACCGACCACAUCUCUCCCAUCUCUGGCCUCAGUUUGCCUGAGGUUUCCCCUUCAAGUACCUUUGCUAGCACCUUGCAAGCCACAAAACACUAACUGACUUGGGGAAGUGACAAAUUGAGGGGUUUUGGCAGUCUGCAGGCGGUAAAACAGGCCUGUUUACAUGGGAGGAUCCCACAGAACCACAGACAUGUCUCCAACAGCCAAUAAGACAGAGGGAAGGAGGGAAUGAAGGGAGAAAGUAAAGAAGGAGAGGAAAUUGCAAUGGACAGUAUUUCUGCCAAGAGGAAUUCCAGGCAGGUUGAAUCAAGGACAUACCUUUGAGCUGCCAAAAAAUAUACUGUUAUUUAAAUCCCAUACUUUCAUUUAUAUUCUCAUUUUUAGCCAUGCCAGCUACCAAGCUAUCAUCUGUCUGUUGGAGAACUUGAGUAAGUGGUAAAUUAUUGGACAGGUGGCCAUAAAAAUGAGUUUGGACAUUCAUGUCGCCCAGAGGAUGAAUCAUGUUGACUUGAAUCACCCUCUAAUGUCACCAUAAGCUUAAUUUUUAAGGUUUUAAAUCCUCCACACUUUAUUUUCUACCUCUGGAAACACAAUUAUAACUUCAAUGAUGCCAAAAUUUCUCAAAUGGUGCCGUCAUCCCAACACAAUGUUUUUUUUUUUUCCAUUUCUUUGGUUUACGACAAAGUGCUUGCAAAACCAAUAGCACUCCCAUCAGCCUCAGCAGCAGUUUGAUGUUAAUGCUGAUUGGCAAACAUAAACUUGCCUGUGCCAAAAAUCUGAGGCUUGGAAAUUGAUAUACUUUGCAUGUCAGCAGGCUGAUGUUAGCUUUUGGCUGGACGUGCCAAUGUCUCAAGUGUUCAGGGCAGCCAACAUGCCUCGAGAACAAUAGAUCUAAAUUGGUUGAGUAGUUUUAUCUGUCUUGUUCAGAAAUCAAAGCAAUUCCUCAUCAUCCAUCAAACUUGUGCUUUUUUAUGGUUUUUACACCAAAUCUUUUCAAACCAAUAAAUAACUGAAGGCAUUGUCUCCAGUCACAGUAGAGCGGGGCUCGGAUUUCCUGGCAAAGACAAAACUUUAAGACGCUCUGACAGAAACGUCUGGGAGUGGAGAAACCCUACCCAGCACAUGUCAUUGUAAUUCAGGAAUAUUAUAUGAUUUAGAGGGUGGGGAGCACAGGGGCUAUGGAAACACAGAGCUCAGUGGCAGGGCGCACAAAGGAUGUCUGUUCAUUCACAAUGGAAACCUUGUUGGCAUUUUCUUAGUGCCUCAGAGAAAACCAAAGAAUAAACAACAGUUUGCUGUCCCAAUGUCUCUGACGUGAUAGUAUCUCUGACAGCCUUUUCCAAAUGGAAAUAGGCUGGAUUUAAAAGCAUCCGAGGGAAAUCUCUGUUGAUGCUGUGCUGGAUUUAUUCAUUCAACUUUUCUGUGGCUGUUCUGUGAAUUUGAGAACACAAAUAGAAGUGUGGCCCAAGUUUGAAGUAAAGUUGUACAAGACAGCAAAGUGUUUGAAGUUAAAAUCUAUCGAAAUGGCAUCAAGAUGUCAUUUUUACAAUGCUAUUCUUUCUGUCUUUAUAUCUCUGCCCCUCUUUCUCAGUUACAGGAAUCCCUUUGUCCUGCAGUAAGGUGUUGAGGUCAGUGAGGAAGACAAUAAACCCCCUGGUGUUACCUUAAGCGUGUCAAAGUUAAAGGGAUACACUAUCCAUUCAUGCCUGUGAAAUAAGUAAAUGUUUCUGAAGGUUCAUGCGACACAUUUAACAGAGCUCACCUCAGUUAAAGUUGAUCAGUGUUUUUAUAACAGGGGUCCACCAAUAUUGGUUUUCAGGGCUGGCCAAUUAUCAGAGACCAAUACUUGAAACCGAUAUGUGUUGACAAAAAAAUUACAAACUUUUGUCAAAAUUAAGAAUUAAGAGUCUGACCAACUUUGACACAAAACUUAAAAAUGAAGGGCCUCUACAGAUAUUAAGCAAAAUGUCAAAUAUCGGCCAAGGCUAAUGAUCGCUCUACCCCGAAUGUAUAGUACACAACUUUUAAUGAGUAAAACCAACAGAGCAUUACCACCCACUGUCACAAUCCUCCAGAACUUAACAGAGCAAGCCAUAAGACCUCAAGCAAAUACUUAAAUUAAAAAGCUGAUUGUAUCUCUGUCUUGUGUUUACAGCCUGAAGCUUUGCUCUUAAAUGGACAAACUAUGAACUCAAGGAGGUUUAUUCACAAAACAACAUCGGAAGAUAUCAUUUGUUCACUUGUGGGCUGUUUGGGGGCAUUAUAGACCCUUUGCUCAUAGUCAGUGUCAAUUGUCGUUGAUUAAACAAACACAAUUACUGAUGUACAAAGUUUUUUGCCAAGAGAUUAUAUGGAAAGCUGUAAUUGGCAAAGUAACAGUGACGUCUUCCAGAUGUUGUUUUGGAAAGUUCUGGUGAAUCCCUUGUAUAGGUUGCAGUCAUAAACAUUAAUUAUCUGACAUUUAUCCCUCUGCCAGAGGCAAGAUAAGAGUUUAAUUUGAGCAAAGCUCCGUAGGAAAUGAGUGAGAUGAGUUGGAAAUUUUGAAAAGCUGCACAUGAAAUUCUCUGGGCUGAUUGUUUUAGAGGAUCAGGUCUGUUCUGGGAAUCGAGACUGAUGCUGUUAAGUCGAGUACCAGGCCAUCUCAGCGCUUGGGAAGAGUUCCUAAGUUAACACUUAAACAUUUUAAACAGCUGGGCAAGCCAAACCCGUGUUAGUGGAGGCAACAAGUUCACUUAAAGAUAGGGGUCUCCCUUUGAAGAAGUGUCACUCAGCAAACAACAAGUGAACAUUGGAGAAUUUAUGACCUCUGCAGCUCACCUCUGCUUCCCCACAGCUGCCCUUACACACCGCUGGUGACAGCCCAGCAGGAAAGCCAGGAAGAGCUGAAACACAUAAACCAAAGCUCUUUAAAAGAGGCAUGAAGCAUCAUGACCAUAUCAUGAAGAGACAGCUGUCUUAUUUCCAGCAGCAGUUUUUAUUGACAGUUUACUCUAAGAAAGGUGUUUAAAUAUUAAUAUUAUAUUAUUAUAUUAUAUGAAGUAUUUUUUUAAUCAAAGGAGAACAUCACAGCUUUAAUUAAAAAAUAAGAGGUAAGGGUUAUAAGGGUUGUAUUUGUGACAAAUCUGAUUGGACCACAAAAUGUUUGAAAAUUAGCCAUGAUUUUAUUGUUUAUUGUUAUGUUUAUAUAGAACUGGUAGCUAUAGUUGCACAUAUCUUUGUGAGCUCAUAAUGGGGUCACUGCAGUUUCCUAUUUCCUGGAAACAUUCACUAGACCCCUAGAUUAUAUUACUAAAAUAUCCUCUUAAGUAUAUAGUAUGAGCUAUUUUGUUAUGCCCUGAGAAUUCUUAUGUAUAGCAAAGUUUCCAAAGCAAUAUUUGACAUGGAGGAUAAAUUCAGGAGAGGACCGUUAAACACAUUAAAGCUUCUGUGAGGAGUUUUUAUCCUGUUACGAAAUUGACUGAUAUUAAUGUUGUUGCCUCUUUUUGACUUGGAGUGAAAACCAGAUCACUAAUAAGAAGCGUGGCUUUUUUAUGUUGCUUUUUUCUGUGUGAAAAUUGUCUGAAAUUGUCUGUCACGGUCAGGGGUUACGUGACAAAGCGAUUGACUGCACAUUGCUGACAGCCUUUAUUUCCCUGUUUGGCAGAAAAGAUACUUGGUGACUGAUCCAUUGAGCUGUUAUUGGAGAACAAAUUAGGAUGUAGGAUAAGAAGUAACACUUUUUCCAUCAAAAAAGCACAAAUUAAAAAAAAGAUAAUCAUUGGAGCUUUAAACAGAAUUUUCUAAUUUUGUUAGUACAAAAUGUGUCUUUUCUUUGUCCUCCUAUUCUUGAAAAGACCCAAACAUAUAUGCAAACACAGUGGACUUAAAAUAUUGUGUCUCCCUCCUGAUUGCUGUUUUCUUCUCCCUAAAAAAAGAGUCGUUAAACUCAAGGGAACAGGCCUUCUUUCAAAAGACUGAAUGGGGUUUUAAUCAAUUUGCUGCCAUCUUGAUUAGCCCGCGAUCCACCGAUCUGCCCAGCAAUCAGCAGCAAUUAGCCUGGCCUGGAAUAAAAUCUCCUCUUUAACCCUCUUUGUACAUUUCGUCCAACUUAUCAGUCUGGUUUGUGCACCAAUAGUGGUACCUUGUUUGAGUUCCUGUGAUUACCUUUGGCGUCAUCUGAGCCGCUAUCUCCUGUCCUGUGUAAGGAGGCCAAAGUAUGCGGAGGCAUUGAGGGGGGACUAAUGGGCCAAAUCGUGAAAGGUCCAGAUGGCCGUGGAAGAAAUUGGUCAAAGCUGACAGUUUAUCCAGGCAUCCGACAAUUACAGUCCCCUACUGGAAUAAAAGGCAACAUUUGGAUAGCUCAUUUAGAUCUUAACAAUAGAAGGGAAAUGUCAAAACAGUCUCACACACAAAUAGAACCACAUGGCAGCAAUUUUACUCGGUCCAAAAAUGGCCGUUCAGAAUAGAGAGAAGAGAAUCAUUUCAACAAAAAGCUUUGAGUGUUUAUUAAAUUUACAAUAAUGAAUUAAAACAUCAGAUUCACUGUAAUGCGAAGUGUAGUUUUUAACUGUUGAAGUGUAUAAAUCUUGUUCCAUGUGGUUCAUCUAUGAUUUGGCCCAUCUCCUAUGACCCUGUGAUGAGAUUACAGGUGGUCUGCUGAACUUAAGGGUCACCAAAUACCAAAACACAAAAACUGUGAAAAUUUAGCACAGCUUAUUUAACACAGCUGAACAUGGGAUCACACUGACUGCACAUGGACUAUGUAAAACUGGUUUCAUUGUGAUUGAUGUUGGUAAGGAGAUAGCACCAGUAAACUGCUAGCCCUUGCAGGUCAAUAUCCACAUUAUAUUUACCGGUUUGACAAAAAAUAAAGAAAACUUAAUCUUCAUUUUCUAGAAAUGACAAAAAAAUACUUCCAAACUGUGCUACAUCAAGAGAUGCCAUUGACAUGUGUGCUUAUUUACAUCUACAUGUGUUCUUUCAAUGUAGUCAUGGUUUGAUUUAGUGUUUGUUUGAACUUGUAUGGAGAUCUAAUCCCGGUCUAUUCAAGUGCAUGUUUAGUUUUGGGGAAGGAAGUCUCCAAAGUUGAAGCUGAGAUUAGGAAACUUCUGCAGCAGUUUAGUGUGGUCAAACUCAAGCUUUUAAUGCUGCUCUCUCUUUUAUAGGGAAAAGUCAACAUCGUGUUGACUUACACUAAAAGUCUCUUACAGUAUUUUCAAUUGAUGACUUCAAAUACAUAUACAUAUAUAGCCUACUAAAGUGUGCGGUUAAAGGCUGUAGUGCCCCAAAUACAUAAAACUUUGAGAAAGCUUUCAUAUCCCUCAUUAGCUGGGUCCACUGGCAAGCGAUAAAAAAACUGCACAUUCAUUUUGAGUGUGUUCAAUUCAUAGAAAACAAAACAAAUAAAAAGAAAAUGAAAAGCAGAUGGUUUGGUGUAUAGUGCAGGAUCAGUUCCCAAACAUCUGCAGGAAAUAAGCCAAGGAGACAUGGAGAGAAAUAAUUAUUAAGCAUGAAAAUCAAAUAUAGACGUGACUACAGCCUGAUCAAAGCUUUGCUUUUCUUUGGCAACAUAUUGAUAUAAUAAUGUGUCCGAUGAUGUUGUGAGCAGGACAUCAAAAACACAUUUCUUCUUGAUAAUGCAGGAGUUGACUGCCAGAGUUCAGCACAUAAAGAGGGGAGUGGCUCGGUGCGUACAGAAGAAUAACUGGAGUCUUGAAUGACAAAUGAUCAGAUAUAACAAUUCUGGCAGGCAAAGCAGCAGGUGCAGUUUGGAGUUUAAAAACUCCAUUUAGUUACAAUUUUGUGAAUUAAAAUACGAGGUAGGACUUGAUAAAAGUUUUGAGUCCAAACUAUAGAGCUCUAUGAGUCACCAUAGAAUCAAUCAUAUGCUUUAUUCAAAGCAGCGGAAAGUAAAACCCUUCCUCAGAGCCAAAAUAAUCCUUGGAACCGAAUGUGAAGUAUCAAAGUAAUGAAAUUCACGGACAAUUUGACUCCAAGUACAUGCUGAUCCAUAGUAAAAAGUGAUUUUCAUGGAUGAACAAUACGACAACUGCUAGAAAUAAUCUCCUGCUAAAGUGAUCCCUCUAUCUGUGCCGUGAGCUCUUCAGAAUCCUGGUAAACGGGACCCGGAGCGAGAUGAAACCCAAAGAUAGAGCGACAGAUUUAUUGCACCCCAGAUGUGCCUGAUUUAUGAGCAUUGUUUAAUCUCCAGAUUCCAACCACAUGAAGGUCUUUUAUUUGGAGCUUUAAUUUAUAGAGCUCAGAGAAUGCAGGCUUAAUGUUUUCUGUCUUUGGAGAAGAUGAGCCAGCACUGUGACUCAGGGAGAUAAACAGAUGCUCGGUUUAACAUCCAUCUUACGCACAGACACUGAGAAAGGUUAUCUUUUAACAGGCGCUGCUACAGAAACCAAUCUCAACUGCUCUAAAUCUUUCAGAAAAGUAGAUUUAACAAAUUAGUUGUUUCAAAAAAUACAUUCAAAAGAUGCUUUAUCUUAAGAAGUCUGCUUGCUUAAAGUCUCCCUCAUGUGAAAACCUAUUUAAAGACGUUCAUUCCAAAGCCAAAGCUGGUAAUAGGCAGUACUGUCACACAACUAAUUAUACUUCAUAAUACGUCUCUUACUUUCUUAUUCCCACCCCUUGGCGUUACAGGCAAGUUCUCAUUACCAGAUCGACUGAGCGCAGAGCCCCAGGCGGCUGGUUUUUCCCAGCAAGCUUGGGUUCCUGUGUUGUGGUGGGAGGGUCGGCAGAGGCGACACGAGCAAAUGUUGCUGUUUAUUUCCAUUCUGUCAUGUGUGUGAAUCUGAUUACAGGUCGCUAAGUCAAUAUUUAGCUUCUGCGGACGGCAUCAUCAUCGACCGGUUUAUUUUUUCUGGGCCCCGCCACAUCUGCUGCCAAUGUCAUGCGCGGUAGCCGACGUGUGCCGCUACCAGGAAGGAAAGCAAACAAUGAGUGUGCAGUCCUGGUUGAGCGAGUCGGGCUGAAGAGUGGUGAGCAAGAGACCAUGAUCUGCAGCUAGGAGUCAGACUGGUGCAAGGACAGAAGUGCUGGCAGCAGUUUGAGGGUUGCUCUAAGGGGUUUUCAUCAUUUAACACUAAUUUCUCAUACCACCCUCUUUCAUAUUUGUAAGAAAAACAAACCACUAGACACUCAAAGUGAAAGUUUAUACACAGACCAUUAAAAGAGUGAGAUUUGUGCAGCUGUUUGCAGGCAUCAAGCUGUUUGUUUGAUACCUUUUGUAUUGUUUUGGCGGUAUAGAAACUACAGGGACAGUAAUUGUAUGUCCUGCGUUUUUCGUUUGAUGGCCGUGUCUGGGAAUCCUGCAUGGGGGCUGCAGCUUUAUUACGAGCCAAGAGGAACUUUAGGUCGAGGCUUCUUUUCAUCUGCCCCUCAGGCAAGAAGGAUUUGGUAUUUAUUAAAAAUAGAGAGGAGUAUAUUUCUUCCAGUCGUGACUUCAUUACCUCAGGUUAUUCCACAGAGGCGGACCACACACAGUCAGUAGAUCUGAAACACCUCCUCGGCUUGUUUGCAUGACCUACUAUUUGAAUUUGAGGGUUCACAGAAUCGUGGACUUUCUGUGCCAAAGAUGUGCGAGUAGAGACUUUACAAGACUUGGAAUGAUUUCUUCACUGCCUGUUUCUAGAGCUGAAUUUACAAUCUUUGAAAUUGUUUGGACUUGUUGUAUGUAAAACUAUUCCAGCGUUAACUGUAUGUUCUGCUUGUGCAUGCAUUGAAAAUUGUGAGAUUUUGCAGGUUUUACAGCUGAAUUGUAGGUUUUACUGCUUGUUUAAGACAUUAAAGACAAAAUGUCUCAAGCACAAUCUUGGACAGCUGCCAUGUGUAAGGGGCCUGUGCUGCUUUUUAGGUAGGCGACGUACAUACAUUAUACAUACUGUGCAAAAAAAAAUCCCCCAACUGCCAGCCCCCUCCACCCCUUAAAAUUCACUUUCGUCUCCAAAACAUCUGGUAUUCAUUGAGAGAAGGAGGUUUGGGGGGAAAUGAACUCCGACAAGAGUCUGUAGAUUUGGGUAUGGCCCCCUGCUUUAGGUUCCUUCUGAUGGUUAAGAUAGCCCUGCAGACAAAAAUGCACCAGUCUGUCUCACUGACUUUUACCUGUCCUACUCUAAAAACAACACUGGAUCCAUUAUUUAUGAAAAAAAAAAAAAAAAAAGCUUUCAUAGCAUUAAAAUGUCAACUUUUUUUUAGUGGAAAGAAAACUUUAUUUUGUUAGGACUAAACCAAACCAUUGCAUUAAAUCAGACAAACACAAAAUCCAACUUUAAAAGUCAGCAUAAAUACAAUCCUGAUGAUGCUGUUACAUUAAUUUGCUCCACAUUACAUUUUCUCUUUGCACCCACUGACCCCUCAAAAUGACUCAUAACUUUACGAGCAUUAUUCAAUUAAAAUUAACCUCAGAGACUUGAUGUAUUUGCAUUGUAAUGAAAAAACAAGUCAUCAAGUUAGUCAGAGUAACCGAAAAACAGGAAAGCUGGAAAACUGGCUCACACCCUCACAGAUGCUGCUGUUAAGUUUUGUUUCAGGGAAUUACAAAACACACUUAGCUGUUGAAAUAAUACUUAUCAUUCAGACAUCUGCCAAUACACAUUCAGGAUAAAAGCAGUUUACUGAUCAAGGGGGUUAAUGUGUUAUCCAAGAAUGUAUUUCAUCCAUCCUGAUGGCAUACAGUCAGUUCAACAUGUUUAUACAAUCUUUUGACUUAAAUUACCUUUAUAGUGUCACACUUUAAACCUUGGCCAUAAAGUAGAUUGGCGGUAAGGUAGACUGAGGUCGCACAAAACAGAUAUUUCAAGCUGGUAAAGAUAACCGGUAACAACCAGCUCCUUACAGCCAAGAUUAUAUAUGUUAACAUAAAUGUAGCUUAAAGGUGUACCAUGUACACUCCUGGAGUUUAGAUAGACCUAAGAUUUUGUGAGCAAAGAUGCACUGAUUUAAUAUUGAAACCUAUACAGAGAAAUUCUAACAUCACUUUUGCUGACACCGAAAACAAAGAACAGUUCUGACUAAGCUUUUUCUAUGUCUAAGUCUUCAUCCAAGUACCACACCAGUGAAUUUAGCAUACUCACAGGACAAACAUCCAUAUGCUCAUACUGUAUGUCCAUACAGCUAUUGGAAAACAUCACUGAAGCUGUCAAUCAACAGUGAAUCUGUGUAGAUAACAUCAUACAGGGCAGGCAAGGAUAGGUCAGGUGACUUCAGGGACGUUAUGCUGUCGUUAAAACCUGAGGAUAUUUUUCCCCCUCUUGGGAUUCUUGCAGGGCGUGUUUGGUAAAUUGCAAUCAUGUUAUCCUCUUUUGAAUAGUGCUGACACUAUCUUUGUUCUCCCAUUAGCUUGUUGUAGCUGUGCGUGUUCUUUUCUACGUGUUGACAGAUUGGAUACUGCCACUUAUUGAGUCAGCAUGUCAAGACUUGUUGAUAAUUAAAUGACAGCAGCUUUAUCUGUUGUUUUUAUCAGAUAAAUGGCAAUAAAAUUAUAUGAAUAACUGAAUAUUCCCAUUAUACAUCUGAGAUUCUUGCAAAGUUAUAUUACUUAAUCCAGAAAACUACAGCUCUAAACACAAGUCAAAUCAAUACCUCUAUCCAAGAUACAUCAUGUCAGUUGCUUUUCAGUUUUUUUAAACACUCCACCAUUUAGAUGAAAACUAAACUUACAUACUGUCUUAGUCAAAGCUUUAGGUUCCUAAUUACCCCCCAAGUUUUUCUAAAGGUUUACGUUCCACCUUCCCCGCCGUCUUACACAUACAGUCCCAGCAAUAUGGCUGAAGUCACUUCUCUCCACCGCUGGUCUACUUUUUUCCCUUUGUGUUUCUCUACCCUAAUAUAAGAGAGUCAUGAGCCUGGAAAUCCUUGUUAAAAGAAAAUAAGCAUGUAGCAGUGCCUGAAGCAAAUAGUUUCACAGUAAUACAUUGGUACAGUGUGCAUGUUGGUCUCCUUAUGAACAGAAUUACAUCUGUUUUUUGUUGGUCUGGGACAUUAAUUACAGCCCUCUAGAGAAGUGUGUGCAGUGUGUUGGUGUAAUUGAUAGUGAGAAAAACACUGCAUACAAUACACACUUUUCCUUUGAUGUGCUUUCUUUUUGUUCUCUGUGAUUUACGCUGCAGUUCUUUGGAUCUUCUCUGUGUUUGGUCACUGAUGAAGCUCUGUCAGUGCUCCUCUGUAGUCAAAGAUAAUCUAAAAUAAGACUGUGUAACCUUUGCUGAUCUGCCUGUCAUACUGUUACUAUAAUCUUAAGUUAUGGGUUAUUGGAGAGUCAAUGUCUCUGUUAACAAAGUUAUCUUGGGGCAGAUGUCUUGAACCUGAAAAUGAUUUAAUUAGAGGUAGCAGAAACAAGUGACAUCAUGUCAUUAGCAUAAUUCUCACUCUUUAAAAUCCAUUAGCAGUUGUCUUUUAGCUCUCCGAAACACUAAAAAAAGAACUAAAUAAGUGAAACAUUUGAACUCAUGCUGGUUCAUGUGUCCUAAAUUGAAUAAUUACUUAACUUUGAGCUCCAUGUGUGGGCUCUACCCACUCCUCAUGUCACUAAUUAACUGUUCCACUGAACAUCCCCAAAGGCCCAGAGACUUACCAUUGUCAUAAAUUGAUUUGUUGUAUUUGUAUUUUUUUCCAAGUGUUCUCUAUUUUCACAUUUCUAGUUCUGCAGUGUCUUUGUAUUUGCUGAACUUUAAUUCUACUAACGCUGCAUUUACGUAGGGUUUUUAAAAUCAUUUCCACGGUAUUACUGUCAUUGCACCUAUGGAAUUUUUGUAUGUGUUCAUGAAUGUGUGUCAUCUCUGGAUUUGAAGCAGGUUUCUUCUAAUCAGAGUGUUUAAGCCUUUGUGUUUAAGCAGAUUGGUUAGCCUUGUCUGUCAGUCACCAGGGGGAGCUCUAAGAGUUUCGGCUUCACUGCAGUGGAGCUGUUGUGCUGUCCAUGCUUUUAUACAGUUCAUAGACACUACACUGCACUGCUAUCAUUUUUCUAUCAAGCCAGCUCCAGCCAUCUUGCCUUGAGAGUUCCAAGGAACUUCAUAGAAAUAACUUUUCUUUGGCAGUCCAAAUACAAAACAACUGCUGCCUGCUUUUACAGACCCCCCCACCCCCUCCUGCUACAAAAAACAAAGAUAUUGAAGCGAUAGAAGUGAAAAGACCUUUACUUUGUUUUUGGAAAAACUUAAUAUGCUAGCUUUGAUUUUAAGUGUUGCCAGCUGCUCUUUUCUUUUUACUUUAGGCCUCUCUCAGCGGGUCUGCUGCAGUAACAAGGGUGCCGCGCUGUCCCGGGGUCCUAAAACUUUAUCAUACACAGAACACAGAAUCAGCAUGCCAGCAGAGGCCACUAAGCCUUUCCUCUAAUAACCUCAAAUAUGCAGCAAUUCAUAUGGAUGUGGUUCACUCCUAUUUCUGAUGGAAAACUAAACCCUGAUGCAGGAACCAAAACACUGAUUCCAUCAGCACUGGUCGAGGCAUCCUGCCAGAAACACUGCACUGAUAUGGGCCUCGUUCCUGGUCACCAGUCAGGCGCUCGUGUCCUGAAAGGGUCUUUCAGAGAGGGUUUGAGAAGUCGUUUUCACGUUUAAGUCAAAGUGUGCACUGCUGUCGCUUUGAGUUAAUGUGUUCGCUAAAAGAAGUGAGGGUUAUGUGAGAGGGAGGAACGCUUCGUCAGCAGCUCAACCGUCUUUUGCAGAGCACAGGUGAAACCCUCAGGGCCAAAAUUCAUGAUGCUAAACAUUAGGGCCUUGCCAAAAAUUCCUUCUCAUUUAAUCAUCUCUUCUAAACCUGCUGUCUUCUGCAUUAGAAGAUAGAAAGUGGAGAGAAUGUGGCACAAACUCGGGCCUUAAAAAACAACCAAAGAAACACCUCCAUGUUUUUUUUAUUUAUUUAUUACUCUAGCCGGGUUGUAACUUUUAAACACCUUCCUUUGUUUGCUUCUGUUUGUAAAAGCAGCUGUUGUAAGAAGUUUUGAAUCGCUUGAACUAUCGUCAGUGUUCAGUAGCUCUGAGGGCGGAACUCACCAGAUUAUCAUCUAAGCCCUCAAACAAAGCUGAUAGCUGUGUAAAUAAACUUGCCUUUUUUCACACUUGUUCCGUCUAUUUGCUCUACUUUCUGGCCAUGAUACUUCAAAUAAACAGCUCUGCAACUGCAGCCUCUCUGCUAAGGAUUUGUGAUUUAUCAGUCCGUAGACUUUUGGCCCCACUCAAAAAUAGUAAACAAGGAGCAAUUUGAGUCUGGUCGUCAGCCAAGGCAAAUGGUUGUAUUAUGAUAACAGGCCUAUUUCCUGUAGUUAAGAUUUUUGUUUAACAUUAGGCCCUAUUCUCAGCCUGCAACUGGCAAGCAGCGGCGGCCCAGUUUCGACACUCUUAACCUCUGCCUUAGACCAGCGACCAGAUGUGGUUCCCUUAAGCAAAUUAUUGGCGGUUCCUAGCACACACAGGUUCCCUACUAAGUGUUUCCAGCUCAGAUUUGGCAGGAACAGAGGAGACAUUCCAAUGGAGCAGCAUCAUAUUUUCCCUUCAGCAAAGCCAUAGCAACUAAUUAUUUAUUAAGAAAAAAAACUGUUUCCAAACCAAGCUAAUAUGUUAUCACUACUCAUUAUUUCUGGAUUGGAAUUUUAAAAUACUAUUUAUUUCACACUGUCACGGUGUGGGAAGAUAAAUAGAGAAAAGCCUCCGAAAGGAGAAGCAGAAAAGUGAGAUUACUCCAUGAUUAGUCAUGCUCAUAUUUGUUUUUGAGAAAAACUAUCAUACCAGACACAUUUGAUUUACAGGGAAACUCAACCAUUCCAUUCUGGUACACUUAAUUUAAACCUCACUGUAGACCGGCUCUGGACUUAACUACAAAACUUGGAAAUGUGAACGUUUAAAUGGCUGAGAUCACUUUUAAGAGACAACCUGAGCCAUUAAUUGAGUAUUAAAUGUCGUCGAGGUAUUCAUUCUGUGUUAUUCCAGCACAGUUUUACAGUCUUUCUCCCUCAAAAGCAGAGCAUGUGCUCUGACCCUCCCCUCAGACAGCUCUCACUUCUACAUGCAUCAUUACCUCCGCCAAGGAGGUUAUGUUUUCGGUAGCGUUUGUUUGUUUGUUUGUUUGUUUGUCUGUUAGCAACUUUACGGAGAAAGUUGCAGACGGAUUGACCUGAAAUUUUCACCUGAGGUGCGUCUCAGCCCCAGUAGGAUCCCAUUACAUUUUGGUGGUGAUCCGGAUCGCCUUCUGGAUCCAGGGAUUUUUUGAAGGAUUCUUUAGCAUUGUGAGAUAGGGCAAAUUUUUUAAUUUUUGCAUUUAACUCUAUAAAAAUGUCCAGAGUCAUUAGUAAAAAAUUACACGAAAGGAUCUCAAUGAGUUUUAUGAGGUGUCAAAGGUUGAUCCUGAUCCACACAAAAUUUUGGAUACUGUGAUCCAGAACACACAAAAAUAAGGGUGUCGUUGGAAUUUUCAAUGCUGAAAGAUAACCAAUGAAGAUACAAGGAAGUGUACGCUUACAAAUAUUGCAUAAUAAAUCAUGCAUUUAUGUAUCUAAUAUGAGCUUUGUUGUUCAGGAACAUUAUGAACAGUGAACAUACCAGUUUAAACACAAAUAAAAGUUAAUAAAAGACACGUAACAGUAAAAGUUUUGGUGUGAAUCACAAUAUAAAGGGGGACAUGAGCUGCUUGGCGGAGGUCUGCGCUCUCCGAGUGCUUUUCUAGUUAGGAUUUCGGAUUGGUGUUCAACGAAGUUGGGAGGAUGAGGAAGUUGUAGAUGAACUUAUGGACCUUCAACAUGAUGUACUACAUCGGUGCAAACUGUCAUACAGCCACAUGUGGAGAGAGGAGAGAGAAGCAAGAGGAGCAGGUGUAUGUGUAUGUGGCUGUGUGUGUCUAAAAUACCCAGGGACAGUGUGAGAAUGACUACAGAGGCAAUUCCAUGGGUGAAUGGGUGCAGAAAAAUGAACGUUUGCUAGACUAAACAGCAACACUGGUUUGAAUCACAGUAGCCAAAAAUGUUAUCUUAAUUCUUGAUGUUAUAAAGAUGCAGAUCCAGCGCGUCUUACCCCUUCCUGUUGACACUGUGACAAAAAGAUCAGUUUCUAUCAGCAUUCCAAUCUGUCACAGCCUGCCCACUGAAACAGUGACAUUAAUAUUAAGGCCUCCAGAUGACCUACAAGUGUGAACACAAGGAUUUAGGAAAGGAUUUAUCAUUUCUGAUUGGUUAUUAUUUAAUUCGUGUCACUUGUAUCAGAUGUAGUAAAUCAGCAGAUAAGUGUUUCCUUUUACAUUGUCAAAGUCAAUGACUCAGUAAGUGACACAGUUAAGUUUGAUAAAGCAGGUCGACACUUUUUGUCAGGAAAUUUAUAAGUAUGCUGGAAAUGACUCUAGCAAAGAGGGAAGUCAAUUUUGGGCCCCUGGGGUCUUCAAAAUUCAGACAAAAUAAAUGAAAUGAAAGUUGCUUGCAAAAUAACUGAACAAAGCCGACUCUGUUCUGAUGUUAUUCUCUCUUUGGUAAUGUCUGUCAGUGAUGAACGCAAAUGUUAUUUUUGAUAGGCAUUAUUUCAUAACCUGACUUGCCCCACUAAAAUAUUUUGGCUAAGUGGAAAGUUACUCUCUAAUUGACACGUACUCUUCAACAGCCUCUGAUGAUCUCUAACGUAUAAACCUUCAUCUAACUCUGUACACCCGCACCUUUUUAAAACCCAAGAGCUGGCAGGGAGGGCAGCCGACAGCUAAGGAAAUAUUUACAGAAAGGGAACACUCACACAUGGUGGUUGUGUCUCUCUCAUCUAAAUUGAUGUCGGUCUGGUCUCCAGAACGAACAUAAACAAUCGGUUGGGGCAGGAGGCCGCCUGCUGCGAACGCUAAACUCCUCUACAUGCAAACACACAUCUCCCUGCUUCAUGAGUAAGUGGUCAUGAAAAAGUCAUCACAGCAAGAGACAUCAACAUGCAGAGAGUUGGGGAGUUGUGUUUCAAAGUUUGGAUCUGGUUCAAAGUUUGGAUCUGUUUCAGUUUACUAAUGAGGAGCUCAAAUGUGUAACUGUGACGCAGAAGGUAGACUGGUCUACUUUGAGCCCUUUAGAUGUUUUUGGAUGACUGUGUCUCAAUCUCUUUGUAACAAAUAACACAAGGUUAAACUGUGGGUGUGCUUCAUUUCACCCAUGAUAACUAGGAUUGUCAACCCAUUUAUUAAUGUGCAGUACUACUCAGAGACCAUGUCACUCAAAACAUCCAAGCUCUUUAAAUUCCCAUUUUAUUGAAGUCUGUUUUCUUUUAACUCUGCUGUAUUUUGCAUUUUCAAGAGGACUUGAUGCCAAGAGUAAAAGUUAUUUUGCAAUAUUUAAAUUUUUUUCAACUAAAGUAUAUAUAUUUUUAAAACAGGUGAAUGAAACAGCCCUCAUCAUAUUUCAGUAAUAAAACUAAUCCACUCUCUCUCUCCUACCCUGACUAGAUGUGGGUCAAAACUCAAUAGAUCAUCAUCCUGAGUUAUGUGGUACACUUAUUGAUAUGCUGGAGCUAAAAAUUUAAAAUGUUACUUGAAAUAUAUGAACAUUUGACUCACACCACUUCAUGAGGUCUCGUUGUGGCAUGAAUGAGGUUUAACAAUGAAUGACAUUAAACUGGACAAAGAAGAAGCUGAUAACUGCAAAAUCGUAUAAAGGAAACAUAGGGCUGGGUAAUAAACUGAAAAUUUACCGAUACAGAAAUUUACGACAACCAAUGCCCAUGUCAAUAUAUUUAGUGUCAAAAAAAUAAAUGAAAAAUAGUUGGUUUUGGAUGUGUGUUAGUAGGCUAUAGUCUUAUGUCCCUUCAAGAAGCUGUCUUACAUCAGAGACGUGACUCCACCCCAUCCAGUCCGUCACAAAGAGGGAAAGACAGGUGAGGAGAUGGAGGACGGUUCAAAAGUCGUAGUGGCUGAAGUAGACAAAGUUAAUGUGGGAUAGGGUGAGCAGCUUGUGGAGUAGUUAUCGUCCAUUUAUUGUUAUCGAGGUGAACUGCUCAAUAUAUUGUGAUAUUGAUUUGAGCCCAUAUCGCCCAGCCCUAGGGAAACAGCAGGAUUAUGUUAGACAGCAACGCAGAUAACUCGAGGCUCCAACUAUUUUUCAAACUAAGACAUACGAGGGAUAGAAAAGGGUAUUACAGCUGAGACGUGGAGGAUGCACUCAAGUCUGCAGAGAGUUUCGCUCACCUGUGAUGGGAGGACUUCACUGUUUCGUUGACAACUAGUGGGGAAAUGCACUCUUCCACUCUUUACACCUGUGCUCAUGUGGCAAAAGUUUUGUCAAUGGCUUAAAAGUAAUCUCAGCUUACUGGAAAAGAUUCAGCUGUAAUAACUGACAUAGGAGUGAAUACAGCUGUUACAGCUGUUAUAGGCACAGUUAUAGAGGGUAACAUAAAAAAUUCAAAUAGGUGGGCUCUAAUAUGAGCUUGAAGAAGACUGACUGUGCAUCUAUCUUGCUGUCUACCCAGGUGUUAAUGUAAGGAGAAUGUAGAAUGUAAACAUGCACAUUAUUUUAGUGUUUACAAACCAUGUGAAGUACAUUUUCAGUGUAACUUUAAGACUUAAUUCCUUAUUGUAAGAAGAUUUUAACCGCUCUGUCACAGCUCAUUUGACUAAAAUGACCAGAUAACUUUGCCAUCUGUACCCCUCAUAGAGAUGCCAAGGCUGCCUUUUUGACUGGAGGACUCUUUAAGCAGAAACUGGAGCUUCCUCCCUUUUAAUUACACUUUCAGUGAUGACUUCCUGUGGGAACACCGUGAGGGAUGUCUGGUCUUGACUCUUCAGAUGACCCCAAACCAGAAACCUCAGCGCUCGUUCUUCUGGCUUUUGAAAUAUGUUCUGGACUAAAACCACUCCCCAGUGAGUCAUUAAUGCAGAGCUGAGUCUGUGCUGCUUUCAGGCCUCGUCUCUUGCAGAGAACACAGGCUGGGCUUAAUAGAAUAUAAUCACAGCACAUGAGAGUUUGUUUAACUUGUUCUGCUCAGACUCCAUGUUUGACCAAAUGUUUGCCUUUUUUCCAUCUUGUUCAAAUUGAUUUUGUAUACAUAAAUGUGCAUGAAACUAAAAAACAAUUUUGCAUAUUUUUCUGGUAUGUGCUCCAGCUUUUCAAAAUGGUUCUACACUCAACAGUGUUCCACGAGCUGCAUGAGAGCUCCUUUUGCUGUCAAUCAUCUGACUUCGGCUCCCUACCCUGGUUUGCUCUGAGAACACAAUGAAGUCCCAAAGCUCGAAGAUAGAUUUUCAUAGUCUGGUUGUAUUUACGUUUGAAAUUGUUCAGAGUGUUUCUCGUCUCUGUGGCUGCUGGGAGUGUACACUGUUUAAUCAAGAGACACCACAUAAAUCACAGGCGGUCUGGACAACUAGGCAGGGCUGGUCUAACAGAAUCAAAAUCAAAUCUGUCAAAUGGAUGGCUCAGGACUCUGCUUUAGAAGUCUGCUAAUGCUGCAAAGGGAAGAGUCACUGUUACGACAUAUUUUAACUGUAGCAUCUUUUUCUCAAAGGCCAGAUCUCAAGAAACUCACAUCACAAUCCACAACAAGAAAUCACACUAGGCAGCCUCGGCUAAGGAAGCAUUUGAUCAGAAUAUUAGUUAAAAUAAUCUCUUUUUACUCUGAAUGGUGCAAUAUUUGCAUUUUGCAUGCUUGGCAUAAAUUUGAGUUAUGGUCAAAUACACCGUAACGCUGAGUUAGACACCCCCUUGAGAGAUGAAUGUUGCAGACUGCUAUCUUCUCUAGUUAUACCAACUUCAGCAACGGCCACAUGAUAGUAAUACACAGCGGUCUAUGGAGCCAAACAAAAACCUCAACCACAAGUAAUGCUCAAAACAGCACCUACCUUCAUCAACAGUACAUAUAGGGUCCCAGCCAUAGUUCUAGCCACCAAACAUCUUUUUAGCUUUGCCUAAUUUCUUUAGCGGUAGUUCUUCUGCCUUAGCAUCUCAGUCUAAGUGCAUUUCCAUGAAAAAAUAAUCAUAAAUGUUCUUCCUUGAGCUGUGAAACCCCGCUGCACAGUUAUGUGCUGUUCUGAGCGUUAUUUGUGACUAUAGAGUGGCUAUCUUGCUGAGGUGUGCGCAUAGAGCCAUACCGCUAUAUAUUGCUAUCGUGCAGUCGUUGCUGAAGUUGGUAUAACUAGAGAAGCAAGCAGUCGGCAACAUUCAUCUCUCAAGGGGUUGACUAACUCAGUGUUACAGUGAGUUAGACUGUAACUUAAAUUUGUGCCAGAAUAUCCCUUCAAAAAACCUCACAGGAUCAGCACUUUGACCUUGUCUCCUACCUGUAAGUCAUGGUUUUAGACCAGACUAUCUUUAGGAUUAAACUUAGAAACAGAGAUAAAACUUCACUGUUCAUCAGUGACAGCUCUGACUAACAGACCACCUCUUACUGUUUCAUGUUUCUGGGAGCAUAAAUAAGCUUUAGCUGGUGUUUGUCACUCCAGCAUCUAUGUAGCAGAGCAGCAGAGCUUUAUUUAGAUGGUUGCAGGUGAAACUGAUGAUAAGGUUUCUAAAAACAGUGUGCUGUUUGAGUCACAGCAGAGAUAAGUUGUCUUCUGUGACUUUGACUUGUUUGUUUCUGCGCAGCAGUGCAGCAGUCUGUGUUCCUUUUUACUUAUCCGAUGUAUAUUACGCUAUUUUUAUGUACAAAUGUUGAUGUUAAAAACAAAUAUUACAUUUUGUUUUAUCUAGGUCUUACCUAAAUACUUUUUGUGUCAUCUAAACACAGCAGGCUCAAUAGUUACCCAAGUUUUAGCUCUGACGCAAAUCCUCCAGAGCUCCACUGACUACAUUAUACUUAUACUUGACAUGCAGAGUGAAAACACUCCAAAGUGCUUGAGUAUGAAGUUUAUUUUCGACUUAAAAUUUGGAUUCUGUGCCAGUCAUCUGUCCUCAUCCAGAAUAGUCUUUGAGUAGCACUGACACAAAUCAAGGGAGCACUGAGGAUAAAAUCUUAUUUUAGAAAAAGACUAAAAGUUGAGAAAUAAAAAUCUUGCUGUCCUCACGGCCCAAGACAAACCUAGUUUAGUGUUGUCACCACGAGUGUGUCUAAAAGGGUGGCCAGGGGUGGCACUGCUCUUCCUAUUAAAUCUGAAUGGCUACCCCAAAUGCUACCCCUUAAUUUUUAACUGUGAUUGGCCAUUUACUUUGGCAAGUUAGUGCGAAACUUGACUACUACAGGUAUCAUUUGGCUGGCAGUAUCUUUUUUUUUUUUUACUUUCAAUCUCACUUUUUCUUUUUUUUUUUAUGUCCACUUCUACCUAUAGUCAAACAUCUUUUUAAGUACUCAGGAAGAAGGAAGCUGAGAAGAUUCAUGUGUUGUGUUCCCCUUUGAUAGUAAAAGACAUCAAAUGCAGGGGUAUAACAUCUGCAUGGUAGUUAAAUGAUAGUUAAUGCAGUAUAUAUCACAAACAAAGAAGGCAAAUACUUGUAAUGUAAAUGUGUGUGUACAUCUACCCAGGCCAGCCCUGGCUAAGAUGGGCCACCCCAGUCAAAAAGUGAAGAACAUGUCAUACAACACACACACACACACACACACACACACACACACACACACACACACACACAUAUAUAUAUAUGUAUAUGUGCGUGUGUGUGUGUGUGUGUGUGUGUGUGUGAGAGUUUUCUAGACCCAAAGCUUUUGAAUUUGAGACUAUAAGAGACAAAAGAGACCAUCAAUAUAGUCACACUGAACAGUUUCUAAUCUAUAUAAGAAAGGAAAAAUCCAAACUUUUGAUUAGUUUUCUGUCAUUAAAUGAAUAGGAAAGAUUAAUUAUCAAAUCUCUAAGCUCAGCUGUAAUGAAAGCAAAAUUUAGCUGGGUCAUUUUAAUCCGAGUCAGAGAUUUACAUUGUUCGUAAAGCUUUCCUGUCCUUAAAUGUUUUCUCUUGCUCAAUAAUUCAGACUGUGCAGUCAUUUGCUGUUUUUAGGAGGUAUCCAGGGAGAUAAAUGAGAGGAAAUAAUCAGCGAAACUCUCAAAUGAAUCAACAUCUGAAGCAAUUUGCCUGACUUUUAUUUCCUGAUGUUUCAUCAUCCAUGUCUUCAUCAUCAAAGACAGGCGGUUUAAUGUCCAACAUUUUCCAUGACAGCAGCCCAAACCUCCAGAGAUCAUUUAUUUUUCAUUUGCUCCCAUGACCUAUUGAGGAAAGGAAAGUCCUUUUACUCUACUGUAGGAUUAUAAAAGGAGCUUUUAUUUUGAUUAAAACAAAUGAAUGAAGAUGAUCUCUGUGGAUUAGCAUGUGACAAGUUGUUAAUGUCAUCAAAACUUCAGAAAAGGCAUCUCAUUUGUCUAACCUUUCUUCUUUGGCCUGAUUUUUUCUCUCUCCCAGUUGAAAUAUUGGAAAAGAAAAAACCCUGGACCACCCGAGUCCUGACUCCCACUCACAGGUGGGAAUCUAGUGUUUCAGCUUAAGUUUAAAAGUGAUUAUUGUGUCUCCAAACUACCCUGUCUACACACUAGCAUGUCAAAUAAAGCUCUGAAGAGGGUGAAAAUAGCCAGCGAUGUUGCCGUGCAGUGGAUCCUGAGGCCACAGCCGCUCAGCUAACCCGCCUGCCGCUUGAUGUUUAACAAGCUGGUCAUUUAAACACGGCUAAUAAAACAACUCCUGCUGGGGGGAGAGGCUCUUCAUAAACCCUCACUUCACAAUGUUGAGUGUACGUUUCCCCCCGCAGCCCCCGUAUCCCCCCCUCUUUUCCCCUGACCAGUGAAAACUCAAACAGGCACUUAUGCAGGCGUCAUGUUUUUAACUAUAAUUGGAGUUAUAAAAGUGAAACAGCCGCCACAUUAUAGCUGCUGUAACUCAUGUCCAGACUUAGGUAACAUACAGGAGGAUUUACACAAGGUAGUGCAAGAGCAAUACUGAAGCCUGCUGAGGUAAAGAAUGCAUUUAUUAGCUCAUUUUCCUUAUGGUGAACAGAAGCUGAAUUUAAACAUUUUAAACAGAGGCUAGAUUUAAAGGGAUAGUGCUAUUCACCGUCCUGCCAAGGGUUAACACGAAGAUUCAUUUAAUUUACAUCAUGUCUGUGGAAUGAAAGAAUAUUGAUAUAGCUUAGCACAGAGACCAGACAGAGAGGGGAACAGCGAGUCCUGCUGCCCAACAAAAUGUACAAAUUACAGACAGACCCAGCAUGAGAAAGGUGUUAAAAUUUCCAUCUGACUCUCCAAAGAAAGCUAAAAGCAUUUCCCACGAUGCUUUGAUUCAAAUUUAUUUAAUCUAAAUUAGCUCUGACACUGGGAAAUAUGUUUUUUGGCUUAAAUGUCAGCUGUUAAAAAAAAGCUCACAUAAACUGAAUCAGACUUUGUUGUACUUUCACAGAGUUCUGAGAACAAAGAUAAGAAACACAUUUUAAAUUAGAUCUAAUCCUUGGUUUUAGUUUCUGUUCAGGUCAAAAGAUCUUGAUCCUUUACCGUACUGAGUGGUACCUGGACCAUUUUCACUCCCGUCUGCGGCUGUAACACAUAAUGUAUCAUUGAAAUUUUCCACAGUACUCACACUGUUCAAAUAGUCAUGUUUAAUGAUUCAUAUGUGAUCCAUCCAUUGAUCCAUCCCUUGCUCAUCUACGGAUUUUCCCUCUUGCUCAUAUCACUCAUGCACGCCAACAAUAUUCUUGCAGACUCUUUUUUUCUUCCAGUUACAUCGGACUUAAGAGGACAGAAAUUGAUGAUCAAAAUAUGUCCCCAAAACAUUUAAAAGUAGCAACUAGUCUGUUCCACACAGCUGCUGUGCUCUCUGUACCACAGAGCUGAGAAGAGAGAGAAAAAAGUCUUUCAAUGUGUGCAAGCAAACCCUAUUGACUAAUGAAAUAAUGUUCCUUAGUGUAGCUUUAGUGGUCAUAUUGAACAUUAUGUAUAUUUGAUUUACAUAUGACUUAUUUUCCCCUCUCCUAAAAUGUAUUAAAUCUUCGACUACAUAUUUUAGAAUCAGAGGAAAACCACAUCACAGUCUCCUCCAGAACCAACAAGCUAUACCUCUGGUGCUACAUUGCAGGAAACCAUACGAAACCUUGCAUCACAGACACAAAAUAAAGCCGUGGCAAUGUUACUAGCACUGAGGAUCUGCAGGUCUCCAGAUGAUGUUGUGUUUUCCCUGAAAUCCUCCUUUAUCCCACCCUGGAUUAAAGCGUGGUCAUUUUUUUCUUCAUUUUUUCCCAGAGCUGUCAGACAAGACAAACAUGAGAAAAGUAAAAGUAAUCAGACACAUUUGGCAGAACGUUGUUGACAUUCCUUUGAGUUUCUGAAGUCCAGGCCUCAUGGGGUCGACCUCCUCCAGGGAUGACAGGUCCUGGUCACAUCCAGGGCAGUGAGGCAUUUUUUCCUUUUAUCACUUUAUCAUGUUAUAUCUAUUUAACCUUACUCUGAAACCUCUACCAAUGAGUGGGACAUAAGGUCCUAUAUUGGAUGAUAAAGUGUUAUUACACUUGUGUGUAAGAGUUGAGAGGCCUAUAUGUCACUAUGCUGUCUCUAUGGAAAUUGCCUAAAUAAAGUGAGAGGUUUGUAGGGUUUCAGGGGUGGAUUUGAGCUGUUAAUCAGUGACCAACAGUCUGGGACCUUGUGUUGGGGAUGUAGAGAAUAGUGACGCCUUACUGAGCCGUCAGCAAAGCUUUUGUUUCUGCGCUGCAAAUAGAAUAUUUUAAUGAAGUGUUAGGUCAUGUUUCAUAAUGUCUCUGUUAUUCUGCAUCAUGAGUAUGUCCACCACUUUAUUUCGUCGUUAAAACCUGUCCCACUUUUUCACCCAACACACAGAUGUUGGUCUUUACUUCACUGGACAGACUUUUACAUACAUUUGAAACACUAAUAAAGAUUUAGUAAAACCCACUUAUUUCCAUGCAGAUUUAUCGCCUUAUAACUUUUUUGUGUUGGCUACCACAGAUGUAUGACUAAAGGAAUAAAAACACCCAAUACUUUGCUGAUUAAAAUGGGAGGUUAGGAUUUUCCCUGAUAUUAAAACAGAGCUGUUUGACACACGACAUAAUCCAGUCCCCAGCCGAAAACCAAUAUUCCUAUCAAACCAACGAUGCUCCACAGUAGAUUUAAGUCAUUAAGAAACCACAUUCUACAAAUGUCAUUUAUCAGAAACACAUUUCUUGACAUGACAUCCGCUCUGGGACUGGCUGGAGUAAUUUUCAUGUUAUGUUCCUGUUCAGCCAAAAUUGCUGACAUCAUUAGAGCGAGGCGCCAGGAGGCUAUAGGCUAAAAGCCUUCAGGGCAGAAUGACAGAAAGGGGGAGGGGAGAUGUUUUAUGGGGGGCAUUCCUAAUAUUAGGUUUCAGAUGCCAAAGUUCUUGAGUCAUUUCAACCCAAAGUCUUUGGAUAAAAGCUGGAAUCCAGUCCUGGACUCUGUAAUCAGCUGACACUAGAGUCUUCUCUUAACUUCUCUUUAAUUUUUACACUGCAUCCUUUGUUUUCCUUUGCUAUGGCACAAUACGUCCCACAGUUAAAACUUUUAAGGUUUUGCAGGAUGAAUGAGGAAAUAUCUUCCAGAUGUACAAGCCUCAAAACAUUAGAUAAAAACUUCGAUAAAUACGGGCUUGGAAAUUAGGAAUUUUCUUUGGGUUGUUAUGUUAAGGCAACCUGGGUACAAAACCUGAUUUUGUUUAUUUAUUUAAAAAGGAAAACAUAUGUGGGUAUUUCAUAAUGGCUAUCAUGUUGCAGUGAAGUCUGAAGCCCCCAUCUGCUUCUAGACCCCUACCACCAUAGAGCCUGGCUGCAGCUGCAUCCUCUCGCUCUCUCUCUCUCUCUCUCUCUCUCUCUCUCUCUCUCUCUCUCUCUCUCUCUCUCUCUCUCUCUCUCACACACACACACACUGCUCUCCUCUCCCUCCGACCAGCUGUCAUGACCAGCAGUGAAGGUAUCCCCUUUCUCUUCAAGAAUUUGGCUCUAACUUUAAAUCGUGAGCAUGCAUUGAUAAUAGAUGCAGCAAAUUCUUCCAUCUUCUUGACCUCCCUAAAGACUCACUGGCAGCAGAUAAAUGAGAACUUUAAUGGGUCUAUGUUUCUGAUUUAUCAGAAAUCCCAUGAAAAGAGCAAAGCCAAUGAUGAUUAGUUUCAACUAACAAAUUUUGCCUGUAGUCAAAGCCUGACUUAUCAUACUUUUUAGUGAUACGCUGCUCAGUUGUUGCCUAUAAAGCUAUUAAAAACAUAACAGUGAGCCAGAUUGUUGCUAAGAAUGAUGUGGAAUUGCAUCUUGAUAAAAACUGCCACAUCACUAACGUCACGCCCUGAAGUCAGGAUUUGAUUGCCAGCCCUAAAUUCAUGACGCCACUGUAUCAUGAUUAUUUUAAAAGGUGCAAGCAACCCAGAUUAUGUUGAAAUUCAGCGGAGAAGUUUCCUUGUAAAACUUUUUUUCAGUGAUGCUUUCAUUUUUCCUUUUUUUGCCUCGUCUCUAACUUUAUUCCCUGUUUUAAGUACACACAUGCUUUUAUUUUGAAAGGACAUAAAGGGUUCUUGCAGCAGAUCAUAACCCAAAUGAAAACAGCCAAUAAACCAAUUAACAUCAGACCGUCUUAAUGUUUUAUUGGGAUAGUCAAGAAAUUGGAGAUGCCUGUGUAUCCUGAGUUAGAAAAACAACUCUGCUCCUUUUUCAUGUUUGCUGUGUCAGAACUUGGAUCAAUUUUAGCUCAUAAAUGCCUCACAGCCAAAGAAGAGCCUGUUGUAAAAAAUAAGAAUAAAUCCAGUCCCAUAUCAAAGCCAACAGAGAUGAGAGACUCUGUGAGUAAAUGUGAAUCCUACACUGUCUGCCUGCCACCCUUGAACCUCAUCCUCAAUCUCUCUCUGUCUGUCCGUCCGUCUGAUGGAUGCAGGCGGUGAAUUUCUCAUGGAGGCAGCUCUAUGCGGGUAUGCAGCUGCUGGUAGACUGAAGUUACAGGUUGAAUGAGUCAUUAGUGGCAGGAGAAGGGGAUGCUACCACCUGAUUCUGUCUUGUUCAAAGGAGUGGGAUUUGUUUGUAGUGUGUAAAGUCACUUCAAAAAGGACGGACUGAGACUUUGUGGAGACAUUUGAACUUGAGUGGAAUUCAGCUGAGGUAAAAAAAUGGAAAAAUCCAUGCAGGCUUCACUAUCCCUCCUCAAACACUGAGUAAUAACUGUAAUAUCUAAAUAACUACACCCAAAAGCACUCAAAUUUUCUUCAUCAAAGAAACAUCUUUUUAUUUUUACAUUUGCUUUAAUUUAUAAUUUCAAACAUCACAUUGCAGAUUCAUUCUGACAAACAGUGUUUAAUCACAGUUUUGCUUUCAUAUCAGAAGGGUAAGAUGUGACUUUUACCAGGCAUGUCACCAAAAAAAAAAACUGUAUAUGAGUGCAGUUUAAAACUAUUCAUAGUCAACAAAAGCUUGUACUUGUAUUGCAAAUACACAUAUUAAUUACAUGAUUUACAUGCCUGAAGAGACCAAAGUACCACCACAAAGACCAACAUUAAGAAUCCUGUGGCAAUUGAUCUAGCUGAAAACACGUGUUUGUAGCUCUUUGUUUUGGUGUACAUGGUAAAAAGUGAGCCUUGUGUGGAGUCUGUGAUUAUGGACAAACAUAUGUAAGUUCUGUAACCAGCGUAUAUGCAUCAGAUUAUAUAAAAAUCCAAAAGUGAUCCUUUCCCUGAACUUGAGUAGUUUCAGCACUUUGACAAAGUAAUUUUGGUGCCCCAAGUAAAACUGUGACCAUUUACAAUGUGGACCACUUUUUAACAACUUGUUAAUGAUUCUCGUCCAAAAGUCAUAAAAUUAGAAAUGUAACCAGGUGGUGCAAACUUGUCAGAAGUGCCUCACCAAGCCAAUGUGAUGCCGACUUCAUUUACAAGUUUUGGAACUUGGGACGAAAGACCCAACUAAACAAGUGUGUAAGAGCAUGUUGCAAUAGCGUGAUUGUGUCAUUUAGUAUCAUGUAUCAUUGAGACGAUCACCUAGGACACAACUCCACAAUCCAACCACUAAUGUUGAAUCCAAUUCAUCAGUUUCCAGAGAAAACCACAAGAUUAAACAGCGAGCUCGAAUGGAAGAGCUUUGUUUUUGUGUGCCAAGAAACCACUUACUGCAGCUUAGAGGUAGUUCUGAUCUGCUGAGAUUUCUGGACUGGUUGAGGGUUCAGCUCAAAGAUUCCCCAAGUUUAAAGGGAACAAGAAGUCAGUCAGUCAGAGGAAAUCUGAGAACAUUAAAAUACUUAAAUCUGUUUUUUCCUCUCUUAUCCCACGACAGUGUGUUUAAUGUCAGAGAGGCUGGAGGUGUUCUCACAUGAAAGUUAGAGCUACGCUAUGAUGCAACAUAUUGGACUUUGGUGCCACCUUGUCUGCAUGUUAUUACGUGUGUUACUACGUGUGUGUGUGUAUGUGUGUGUGUUACUGUGUGUGUGUUUGUGCUUUGUUUUCAUAGUAAUUUACCCAGCAUUUAAAGCAAAUGAGUUUCCCAUAGCAGCUGAGAUUGUAAUCAAAGCAUGGGUGACACGGUGAGAGCAUGACUGCAAAAGACUGAUGCUUCAAUCGCAAUACUCCAUAUUUCAACAUGUAAAUAUCUUGUGUUGUAAGAAAAGCAUUACAUGAAGGAUUACUCGCACCCAUGUUCGCAGCCAUCUCCAGCGUAUAAAGUGAGACACUGGUUGAGCAAGUGCCAAAUUUGGCUUUUCUAGUCACCCGUAAUCGAAAACCAGCUUUUGCUUUCACUAUGAGAAAAUUAUGGAAAAUCCAAAGUAGAAGAAAAACUGAACAAUUGUACUGGCAGUAAAAGGUGAGCUGUGUAGCAGGUGUGUUAGUGAAGCAGAGGGACAGAGUGAGCAUGAAAAGAAAGUGACUGUGUUCAAUAAUGUAUGUUUACUGUUAGUACUGUUAAAGUUUUAGGGAGGUUCUCGAGUUUAAAAGAUGCGUUUGAUUGCCAGUUCGAUGAGUAAUCUUGUUUUUACUGAGCAGUCCUAUUGGAAGCUGAAAAAACAGUGUCUUUUUUUCAAUGCAGCUGACCUUUAUGGUUGUGUGGAGUCAGUGGAAAAGUUUAGAACUGCUAAAGGCAAAAAUCAAGAUGUUGAACUUUAACUUCAGACCAACAUUUAUUAGAGCUCUCACUGAUAAACUUUCUUUUUUGGCUUCCCGUCUUAGAGGUCACAGGUUAGUUCAGUCAGUCAUCACGAGAUUCUGUGUUUUGGAAAGCUUCCUGCUCUAUCUGUGCCUUAUUUUAUUCAUUUUUUUCAAGAUCUGAUGAAACCGCAUGUGAAACUGAUGCAACAGAAAAGUUUUGGAGUUGAACCUUGUGUUGGUCCCAGCAGAAGUUCUCCCUGAACAGGCCCCUCUACUAAUUUGAUCCAAGCUGGAGAGAAAAGCAGACACAAAUCUGCCUGCUAAAGCUGAACUGAGAAACUUUCACUGUAACUUUAUAGACAUCAUUGUUUUAACACUUUUUCAGAUGGAAUCCAAUUACUGGAGUAUUUUAGCAUUAUAUAAAAACUUUGCUUGCCUUUUGAGACACAAAUCAUUAAACUGGCAUUUGUUCUUUAUGGAUGGAGUGUGCAGCUAUGAGAAAAUAUGGAACAGACUCUCUCCCUUUGUUUCUUUUUUCAAUAUGUAAAAAAAAAAUAUAUGCAGCUUAGAUGUGUGUAUGGUUUGGUUUAGGUUUGGAAUUUUCCUCACUAUCACAGUGACAGUGACACAUUUAUCUUGGAAUAGCUUCAUGUUGACCGAAAUGUGUACCAUGCCUAUCUGAACAUCAAAACCAGGCGCUGGAAACGAUGCCAGAAGUUCCCUCGUAAAUGAGUCCCAUAUGGUUUCAACCAAAACAACUGCUUGGCCUUGUCUGAAUUUAUACAACACUGCUGUAUCUUUGUGGACUACACAGUAGUUUGACUACAUGCUUGUUUAAAUGUGUUUGUGUUUGAGUUAGCACUCCUCAGCAAAGUCAUUUUUCACCAAAUAUCAUUAUACUUAAUGAGUUUUUCUAUGUGAUUCUUUCAGUCUCAUUCUCCAUGAACCCAAGAAGUCUGACUUUGCUUUGUUUAUCUUUGUGUCCCGUCAAAGUAACUCAUAAUGCAGUGACGCCACGAUAGAGAAAAGGAAGGUACCAUGUUUCUCAUAGCGCAUGCAGCUCAAAUAGUGACAGCCUCCUUUGGUUUGUAGUUAUGCGGUUUACCAGACACUAAUUUAAAUGCUCAGUUGCAGCAUCCCAUGUUCCUCAAAAUAUGAUAAUUGACUCAGUUGUGCUAAGUUUCUCAGGCUCAUGUUUUAUGCAUCAGUGCUUACUGCCUGUCUGCUUUUGUCAUUGAUACCGAGCAUGGCCUGCUGCGCUCUGCCCGGAAUGGCAAGAAGGCUUGAGUUUCCUUCCAGCACAUCCCCAGUCCAUUACCCAGAGGGCUGUGCAGCUCAUUCCUUGGCCUUAGCAAGACCUUGAGAGGCCUGCGCUGCUUUGUUUAUGGGUGUGCACUGGAGGUUGGCUAUGGUUGAUAUCAACUGAGGGUGAAAGUUAGUGACAGGGAUGUUGCAGCUCCAAUUCAUCACCAAGUCAUAUAUUUUUGCCCAUUUCCUGCCACCACAUAUUGUUGUACAACUUAUUCUUCUCAUUUAAAAACUUAAUCAGCUUUUUCUUGUUGGGUUUGAUAUAUACAGUCCUGCAGUAGAGGGAAAGGUACAUAAAUCUCCUAAAGAUACAAAUAAAGUUAACUCAAUGGAAAAUGUUAAAGUAGUUUUUGUGAAUAGAACCAUGUUGAACACGAAUAUUUCAGAUUAUAGAUGACCUCUGAGUAUUGCUCUUUAGGAUUUUUGUACCUUUAGAUUAUGAUUACUAUGAAAUGGGAACAUGUUCACAGUGUUGAAUGUUAAACUUGAUCCUGAUCAGUAAAAAUCCACAACAAAAAACGUGAUUUUGUCCAGCACUUUUCACCCCUGCUCAGUUGACACUGUGGUAAAAACACGGUUUCUGUUGUUCACCCUGUCUGAAUUCCUAUUUGCAUAACCACAGUUUUGAUGCCUCAUGCAGCUCCUAAAUUUUAUUUUUUUUUGAGAGAUGCUGUGUACGAUACUUGAAUAUAUCUACUUGGCCACUUUCCACCAUAUUUGCAUGAAUUAAACAUCGAGUGCGCAAACUUAGAAAGCUCAGGCGAUAAAAUUAGAACGUCAUAUUGGGUGUUGACAGAAAUGCUGAGAGCAGGGCAGCACUGCAGAAAUUUUGGAGAUGACUUGGCCUAUCAGUCAUGAGGUGCAGCUGCUCCUGUCGGGUAAGGGGGAGGGGGAAUGCUUGAGGAUGUGUAAAUCAGGUCUUGCCUGUCCCCAAACUCCAACCAGAGACUUGAGUAAAGCCUAAUGGAAAAAUCAGGACAUGCAGAAGGAAUCCUUUAGACUCUCAAGGCUGCACUCCAGAGCGUUUUUUCCCCCUCUCUGGAUGCUUUAAACAUGUACAACGAUAAAAACGCACAAGAAACACAUGAAUAGAGGAAUCAAGAUGAACGGCACUGAAGUUUGACAAACUGGUUAAUAUUUUUCCAUGAUUUUAUUAUCUCCGCUGCUUCCUGUUCUGCAAAUUCUAACUCCUAAAUGUUCCUUAUGCUGAAUCGUGCUUUGAUGUGAAAAUGCAAAUGCGUGCUCACACACCAAAAUCUUUCUUCACACACACCAUGUGGAAACCAUGUUAUCUCAAGUUCAAAGCAUAGCCUGGGUGUCUUUCUUCCUCUGUGGAGAGACUUACUCAACCCGAGAAAACGCUUUAAUGAUAAGACCUGAGUGUGACGGAUAGUUUGAUAUCAAAGACUCAAGGACCAGACGUGCUGAACGUUUCCACACAGGGAGCAGUUGUCCGUCUUUUUAAGCUGAACUAAGGCAGUAAUUUUAAAACUAACGUACUCACUAGAAGGGUUUGCUAAAUGGAUCAACAUUCAGUAUAUUAAUAUUCCUUAAAGUGGAUUUCCUGCUUUAAUUUUCAAGAUGGAUGGCUUUGUCUUUAGGAGAGCCGCUCGUUUACUUGUAUUUUCUGACAGUCCUUUUACAUAAUGUCAAAAAAAUUAAAACUUUAUGUCAAUAAAUUAAAUUUGACUUGUAAAAUACAUGCAAACAUAUUAGUCCAUCUUAAUUUGCACUAAUCCAAAUGUCUGUAUUCAAUCUUGAUAAUGACUUUCUUAGUCAGUUGGUAACUUCUGAAUAUUUUGCAUCUUGAAAGUUAUUGUUUUUUGUUGUUUUAUAUUUUUAUGACGCUCAGCUUUACUUUGUGGUUUCACUGUGUGUCCACACUCUCAUUAUCCUUGCUCCAGAAACGGUCCACAACAGUAUUCAGAGAAAAAGCUCCUACUAAUGCACAGUACUCUGACUGUCCAGCAGCACCACUGUGAACAAAGACAAUGUGCCUUUCAUGGCUUUAUUGAGAGGACAGGACAAAGAAUAGAGUCAGAAACAGAGAAGAGAAAGUCGGGAAUGACAAGCAGAAACCGGCUGAGAGUGGGAGUUAAACCAAAGGACUGUAGCCGAUGUAUGUGGAGCACUGGGCUAAGUCAGCCAGCACCUCUGAAGAAAGGCAAACCUAACCACAAGCUAAUAAACACAGCAGACUAUUGACCGGCUGAAGAGCCAGAUUUUCCCCUUUAGAGUCACUGAAGAUUAAACGGAGAGUGAAUGAGACCCUAAACUCACCAACUGCAUGUGAAAAGUUUGAUUUUUUACUUUUACCAGCUUUUGUAAUCAACUAUAUUAAAACAUUGGUGUCAACACUUCGAUCAGGAUGUCUUAAAAACCACACAGACAAAUGACAGCUUUGUUUGAAACUUAUGUAACGUCUUUAUUAGCUAAGAGAGAGAGCAGCUGUGUCUCUGGCCCUUUUCCAAUUUUACCAGCUUGACCUGGGGUGCCUCAUUUUUCUGACCUCAGGUCAUCCUGUGUUUUUUUAUAAAUAGAAACAACCUUGUAUGUAAAAGUUUUAUCAAGAGUGCUGCUCCAAUCUAAAUGUGUAUGGUAAGUCUAACUGCUGCGAUAACAAGAAACAGAGAAAGUCUCUUUCCUUGAGCUCGCUCUCUUUGAACCUACAGGCUUAUCAUCAGUGCUCUGGAGUAUUCUCAGGAAUACGUCUGGAGGAGGGAGAUAAAAGAAAGCAGCAGGGGGAGGCAGAAAGGUCCUCAAGUUGACACUAUCCAGCCAUCUGAGCAAGGGACUUUUCAGAUAGUUCAAUGUUGACUGAUAAAUCAGCCUCUGGUCUUCUUCUUUAUCUUCAUUCAGGGUGGACAGAUCGGGACAGAAAGUAUGCCUGCACAGGGAAGGCCAGAAGAAGGAGCAGAUUGUUCGGUUGCUGUCAUAGAUGGAUCAGAGGUCUGCUGUGUGCUGGAUGGAUGAGUGUGUUUGCUAUGUGUUUGUGCUGUCUAUAUGGGUCCAGACUGCCAGGCUCCAUACAUAGAGUCAGUCAGGGUGCACGGCCGGGUUCAGGAAAUGACUGCGAUUAUGCCAAAUGUCCCCUUCGCCUUAGUGUCCCUUGUGGUGAUGGAUAUGGUAUGUAAUAGAGUAGAGAUGUGACUCCACAGAGGCUGCUCAAAAGCACCAGUCUUUGCAGCCCCAUCUUGAGUUCAAUCUCUGAAUUUUGAGGUUUAUUUUUUUCCAUAGUCUUUUUACAUUCUGGGGGAAUUUCUUUUGUUAACAUCCUAAAAAACAUUCCCAGAUACUUUUAGAUACAGAGCAACAAGGCACUAAAGGGUCGUAAAAGGUGUCUCAAGCAAGCCGCUGCACAUUCACAGUCCUCGCAUUCCUCCCACUUCACAGGAUGACCAGAGGCUAACAGAGUGAGGUAACACAAGGCCGUAAACCUUUAGCCAUCACAGCGGGACACACCUGCCCCUUAACACAAAGAGACACAGCGAGGAACCAUAGGUGCACACCUGGAUGGGAAAUUUGAGAGCAGCAACAAGACCAAGCUGUCAGAGGGGGGGAAACUUCAGAUCAACACACUUCUCCUUAGUUAAACUUUCUUCACUUAGACUUUGCUCACACUGCAAACAAAAAGACCAAGUCUGAUUUUUUAUUUGUUCAGAUUCAGACUCUUGAACUUUUUAAAGCAGCAGAACUCGCACUGGAUCGGAUCUUUUUAAUUAGAUGUUGUCCAACUCCUGUCCUGCUCUCCUCUCUCCAUCUGAAACAGUUCAUUUGUGGAUAUUCAUGUAUUUUUUAUAGCAUUAGACAUUAGUAGCCAAAAUCCCACAAUACAUUGGAACAAAAGUAGGAAUCCAAGUAGAGGCUAGAUGGAUAAAAACACUUCAACAUAGUGUCCUCUAUUUGGCUUAGCCUCAGUUUGUGCAGCACUGGAAUGAAGCUAUUUUUAUCCAUGUUAACUAAAUUCCCUCAAACCUGCGGUUAUUUUAAGGUGUUUUGUGGAUGUGUUGCCUGUCUGUUCCUCUCUUUUCUGCUCUUUCUUCUCCUGUUUCACUUAACAAGCCAAGACAUUUCACUGUUUCAAAUUUUCUCAGGAAGACUAAACACAUUCCAGUGAACAUUAUUACUCCUGAAUUAGCUUUUAUGUGCUGUUUGAUUUACUUUGAGUAGUCUAAAUGGUUAUUUUAAGAGUUCACUGACUUGAUUUUAAGACUUGUUGAGUUUUGUCCCCCCAAAGGCUUGGGCCCAGUUCACUUUUUGUGCAUAAAAGGCAUUGUGCUCUUAAUCAGACAAGGCUGGAUUUGACCAAGGCUGAGAAAUCAGGUCAUUUCAGGCUGAGCAGUGUGGUUCAUAAUGAUAGAAGUGAUAACAUAGAGUUGAACAGCCAUGCUAAUUGGCAGACUUAUGAAGAAUACUGUAACUAUUCAAAACACUAGAAAAACAAAUGGACAGUCUUCAAACUUUCUCAGAUGUGCCCUGUGCCAAACUUGUUCAUUGGCGCAGUUGGAAUAAAGUAAAAAUGUGUUAUUUCUCAUGAAUCAUGGUGCAUGAGAUAAAAGCUGAGACUUGGCCCCAAGCUGAAGUUUCCACAUGAUUUAAUGGGAAUCUGUUUCAGUAGUUUUUAAAUGAUCCUGCUGUGAAAACAAACAGGCAAAUACCCAUAACCUCCUUGGUGUACAGCACACAUACACUGCAAUCAGACACUUCAAUUGGCUUUUUGAGAAAUGGUGAUUGCAGCUAAAUAACUAUGAUAUUUGGGCGACCUGGCCAAUAAAUAUUUGUAACAACCAAGCUUAAAGUAUUACCAUCCCAAGCUUCCUCUUCCUGUGGAUCAGUGUUAAAUUAUCUAUAAAUCCUGCUUGACUUAUUGCUUGUUUAUACAUCAUAACACAAACACACAUAAACCACUCUAAUGGCAAACUCAAAGUGGUUCAAUAUGGGAUAUAAAGUCAUUAGUUUUCUUGGCGUGCAGAUGUUUCGCAGAAAUGCAUAACCAGGCACAUGUUUAUGUUGACAAUAUCCCUGUAAUGCAGCAUUACAGAUUCAAUUUCUAAACUUAACAGGAGACCUCUGUGAAAAAGAAUUGGAUUUCUACUCUGCGGGUGUUUUGAGGAUACCGCUUUUUCUGCUGCUAUUGCCUGAAACUUUUGCUACUUUGGACUCACUCUUGUUGAUUCAUGUUGGUAAUCAGUGUAUAUUCUGUGGUUGUGUAAUUCCUUCCGUUUUCAUGAACGUUUUGUUGUACCCUCCUGUUGGUGCACACCACAGGGUCAGAACAUUAAAAAAAGAGCAAGUCCAUCCAACUCUCACAACUCCACACACUAGGAAGAAGACAUAAAAUGUGCCCUAACCCUCAACCUAAACUGCAGUUGAGGAAAGAGUCACACAGAUUAUUUUGCUCCUGUGUGACACUGCUGAGCGCCCUGAUGGAUUACCUGCAGCUGACCCCGGGUGUUAGUUGUGAUGAAUCUGUCCAAAAGCAUCUGGGGCCCCAGCAGAGUUAUUGCCUGGCUGUUAUCAGCUGAAAGCAGACACUGAUGGCUGUGUUGGGGCAAAAUAUCAGCGCCAAGACCACUUUUUGUUUCACAUUUUUACAUUUGGAUUCUUACUCUGGAGAAAAAAUUGGACAGAAAGUUUUCUCUUGCAGAGAAAAAUAAAACUUUUAAAUCCAUCUUGUCUUGGAUCAGAGGAUCUUCGCAUUAAAAUGACUCAAUUGGGCACUUUUAUAAAUGGAAAUUCCCUCCUUGACACACCUCCCACACCUUCCACUCAUGGAUUCCUGACAUUUUUGAGAUAAUUUCAGGACAUUCGGGCCCUCAUAUCUUUAUAUUUAACCUCACACGACAGAUAGACUGGUUCGCAUUUCCAUGGCUUUGGAUAAAUUUCACAUCUAUCAAGACAACACUUCAGGAAGGAAAAACACUUGGUGGUUGAUUAGAUAAACAGGCUGUCUGUCGCGUUCAUCACAGGCCAUUCAGAACGACAAAAUGUGUGACGUGGUAGUCGUGUACAAUGGCAAGAAGUAAAGAAAGACACUGGUGCAUCAGCAAAUCUUCCACUGAAGAGACACCGUUACAGUGAAAGCUGUUUGGAGUCAUCAGGUUUUAUCCCAAUCCUUAAAGGACACCACAGCUAAACCAAACCUUCAGUUACUGCAUCUGUGCUGGUCAGUCAGUCAUAAUCUGACUGUGCACAAGUGUCGUAUCUUUGAGCUUUUCCAGAUAGAUGACAGACUAAGAAUCUGGCCAAUGCAUCUAUUUUGUUAAUUCACACAUGCCUCACAGUGUACAUUUUUCUUGGUCUGAUGUUCUCUCACAGCUCAUGACACCCUGCUUGGUUUAAGCCUGGGGAGAGCUGGAUGAAGCCCUGUGUAAAGGUGACGGUCUCUGGAUCGAUAUCACCUCAAUAACACAAACACAACGGUCAAAAAUGUUAUGCAAGCAAGCAACUCUGUUGAGCAAUAUCAAUUUGCACUUUUAUUGGUGGGGAAAUUUCUCAACUAUUGCCCGAGUGGUGAAACGCAGGCUCAUCGUGACUCAUAGAGAAAAGUUCAGAUAAAGCCAGUAUGCAACUGUUUGAACACAUGCAGCCCAGUCAUGUAGAGUUGGAAAGCUGUCAGGGGAUCUGUGUAUGAAUGAAAGGGGCUUUUGAAAACUUCUGAAUUUCACAUGUUCUCCUUACGAGUACAUUUCUGAGUUUCCUGCUCUCAAAACUCUCAUAAUGUGAUUUAAUUUUUUCCCUCUAACUUUGUUCUUUAACCUUGAACAGUCAUUCACUUGGCAGGCAUAUCCCUUUUUAUCAAACUUAUGUACAAGUAGCUCCAGAAACAUACAUAUGACACUGAGGCAGGUGAAGGGAGCGUUAACUCGUGCUGAAGAUCCAGGUUCAGGUCAACAGGUUUGGUUGAGUGAAGUGAGCUCUUGAUCUCACUCACUUCCUCCUUUAGCUCUCGCCUGCAGUCUUGUCAGUCAACUAAUCGAGCCGUCUCCAGUGAAACGUCAGCCUGAGGCUGAGGUGAUCAGCAUUCAUACAGUCAGAAGAAACUGAAGGUGAAGGAGGGAAACCUGCAGUCAAAGAAAACAGUCCCAGUGUCCAGAACGGUGUGUCAGCAGGUCCUGUCUUUGCAUGUUCAGCUGAGUAUUUUUAUAUCGCUGUUUGAUAUCAAGUCCUUAUGUUCCUUUACAGUAACAAUGCCAAGAACAAAAACAAUGCACCAAAACUUGUGUUAAUAGUCCUUUAAAAGCUUACUUUAAACAGAGAAGAUAUUCAAAUCGGGUCACAAGUUUUAUAAUUUAGAGCAGGGGUGCACAACCUUUUUUAAAUCAAGAUCUACUUUAAAAGUUUCUAGUCUGUUGAGAUCUACUAGUUCACACAGUCAUCCAUAGUGCUUUCCGGCAGCAUAUCAGUGACAUAUUUAUUUACAAUGCACACAAGAAAUCGACACAUCUAGAUGACAAUCAAUUUAUUCUACUUUAGUGUGACUCACCAAAAAGUGCAUCAGCAGCCUCGAUGAAGUAACGACUUUGCCGUCCUUGAUCGACUUGUGUUUUGCAAGAGCAUUAGUAACACAAUAAGAUGCCGUUGUUGCAGCCUUACCCAUGGUGUUUGGUCUAGUAAAAACAGACUGCUGUGCGGCAAGCUCACUCUUCUAUUCCCGCACUUUUAGCAGGAAAGUCCUUCGCAUAACUUUUGUAUACUGUCUUGAAAUGUCGUUCCAAAUUGCCCUUCUUUGGUAUGGCCACACUGGCUUUGCAGAAGAGACAGAUGGGCCUUGAGUUUGAGUAGACAAAAAAUGUAAUCAUCUUCCCACUCUAGGUGAAAAUAGGAAGUUCUCUUUGGGUCUGCCAUCUUCCUUCAUUUAGCUGCUAACUACCGUACUAGCAAGCGCCUCUCAGCAUGCGUGUGACCUGACCUGACAGCCACAACAGAGAGGGGGGCGUGGCGCUAGUGCAGCACAGCCAUGAGAAAAAUACUAUCAAAGCGUGGAAUGAUUACAAGAGUUUUAUUUGCCGUUGUCAAGGCUACUUCCUGCUAUUGACUGAGAAUUAGUCCGUGAACUACUUGUUGUUCGCAAAUGACUUACACACUAGUCUAAAGGAGAACAUUACAAUAAAUGCUCCAGCUUUCAGCACUGCAUCCAGAUCACAUACUAAUAGUGGUAACUUAGAAUAGAAACCCUAGCUUCAGAAGGAACUCCAAAAGUUCAUUUUCACCAACAAUCAAAAACACUGAAGUCUUUCCAUGUACCCGUUAGACUAAUGUUUUCUGAAAGCUGAUACUCCAAAAUGGCGCCUGUGUUUCUUCAAAGGACACAACAUGUGGAUUGGUCACAUCAUUCUUAUCCACAGUAAUCCCCUCGCAGUCAAGAGUUCGCAGAGGAUUGAUGAAUCUCUGGUACUCGGUCAGACAUGUGCUUUUUAUUUGGUCACCAGGCGGCCACACUGCCUUAUCAGCACAACAGGACCAUCCAGGAAUGCACUUCUGCACUUUGUUGGGGACUGUCGUUGAAAUGUUCUGACUAAAGCAAAGUUUCAGAUGAAGAUUUAAAACCAAAUUGACCUAUCUUGAUCAUAUUUCCAGCUUUAACUUUAUAACAAAACUGUAAAUUCUGCUUUUCAACAUUAAGAUAAUUUGGAUUUUAUAUGUAUUUUCACUGCAGUGUUUUAAACUUUUAAAAAAAUCCAGAUAAGUAAGACUGUAUGAGGACUGGAAAAUUCUCACUUACGUUUUGUCCUGAUGGUUUUAUGUUGGAACAGAAAAGCAGAACAGAAAUUUGUGUACCUUUUCAAACUAGAAACCUCUGAAGUUUGAAACCAGCUCCAAGUGAGAACCAGUUUUGGAUAACCAAGCCUCUUAAUGACUCAGUUUUUUGCAGGGUAAAAGGCUGAGGUUUUCACUAGCUAAUGUUGUAUUUCAAACAAGUAACUUCUACUCUGUAAAUGUAUCCUUACCAGUCCUGUAUGAUGUGAAUCUUGUCCAUGGUACAACAGGGGUAGCUUCAACGUGGGCUGAGGUUACAUCUGAAAUAAUCACACUGAAAUAAUCCCUCUUCCCCCUUCUUUAUUUGAAAAACCCUAAUAAAUAAUUCUUGAUGUACUGCAUGACAUGAAACCCCAAAACUUUCGCUUUUUUCUUUUUUAGCUCGGUUUAUUUCUGAUCUAACUGGUUUCUGUUGGCUUCACCUUUAAUAACACUCAGUUUCAGCUUUUCUUAAUCAAAUCAUAUCAUAAAAAAACAACAUUUUAUUGCUUUUGUGCUUUUUGGCUGAUGCCUGAAAUCACAGAUAUUGUGAAAUAUCUUAAAAAGCGAGUCCCUUAAAUUUCUUUUCAUAACAUUUGAGUUCCUGUGGCGGCUUGUUUUUCAUUGGUAACUAUUGAGUAAGCUGUUUGUUUAUUACAAACACACCACAAUAGUUUUUUUUUUAUCCUGUAACAUGGAGCACAUUUCUCUCCGGUACAAAAGGAUUUUUUUUUAUAAGUCAGCAAACAGAAACAGUUUUGUAAGCUUUUUUGAACAGCCAGAAGUGAAAAAAGUAUCUAAUGUUAUUACUUUAAUUGUCAGUUAAGCUGCUUUUCAUUAGCUCUCCUCAGAACUCAUGAAUUAUUAUCAUUAUUCCUAUUAUUUGAACUGGCCUCGGUCUUUAUGAAAUACCACAGUAAUCUUUCAUUGAGAAUUAGAUUUGAUAGGAGUCCAGUGCCAGCAGGAUUGUGGUGAGUUCAUUUCCUGCAUGUGCAGCGUGGGAGGAAGAAGAGGGGCUGGGGGUACUCUGGGGGGGCUGCAGAGGGGCAAUGGUCUUGGAGGAGUUAAAAAUGACACGCAAUUAAUCAGCCUGUGCAGACGACCGCUAUCACUUGACUGCGGAGGCUGGAAUAGAGGCCCGUCUGUGCUGAACAGCUGCAGGAGGAAACGGACUCUUUGCCUUUCUUAGACAUGUGGACGGAGGGUGGAAGAGGGAGAAGCAGUGAGAGUGAGAGAGGGAGAGUGUACAUGUGUGUGUGAGGCCACUUACAGAUGGGAUGGAGGAGGGGGAGGAGGAGUCGAAGAGGAAGAGAAAAAAAUGGAGGUUUUAACAGCCUACCCACAUCUGUUUAUUUAGAAAAGAAACCAUUGUGUCAUUCAGUUAUUCUAACAGCCUACACCAGGGCCAGUGUUAGUCCCACAAUGACGGCUUUUUAAAUACACAGUUUACACUCCUAUGAAGUGGCCUCAUAACUGCGUCGGAGCCUCGGGAACGUGCCAAAUGGGGGAACAUGCUAGGGUUUCACAUUCCCUCCCUCCCGCACUACUUGACGUCUCUAUAGCAGACUGUGAUGCCAGAGGUUAGCCGAGGGAGAUCUGGUGGGGGCGAUUCGUCCUGGACUCGGGUGCUUUUUCUGGACCUAGUCUCUUAAAUUGGUAGUCAAGGGUUGGAGGCCUGCCAAAAAGACUCUUGGGGGUUUUGGACACAAGUUUGAAAGCCAUGCAAGAAACUGAGAUGCCAUUCUGCUGUGCUCUGUUGUUUACAUAUCCUAUCAACUGUGUACUCAAAGACUGGGCCCAGCAUAAAUGAUAAAAACACUCUGAGAGGUUCACUCCGGGUUUUAGUUUCCUUUUUUAAUUUAUAGUCUUAUAAGACUGUAUCUGACUCUGGAAUUGGUCAUUUGACUGGAAUUUUUCUGUUCUGUUUUUCUGUCCUAUGCAAAACUUAUUAAUUCCCACAGAGACCCACAUGAUCAAGUUUUCUGAAUAAAUAGGCUGCUGGCCUGACACAAACAUUUGUAGACUUCAGUUUCUUUAUGCUUUAAGCCAUGCCAGUGUCUUUUUCUUCAAGAUUUUAGUCAACUAGUGAGCUGAAGAUUGCGGCAGCUCAGCUCUCAGCCCCCAGUUUCUUGCUGAAGAUCACUGGAGGAAAAAAGCAACUUUAAUCACAGAGUCUGUUUAAGACAAGGAUUUCUCAUCUUCUGUUAAAACUCUUUGAACUUCCUAGUUAAGGAAUCAGAAACAAGACAGUGGCAGCUCAGCUUUCAGACUCUUCUGACUACCUGUGGUCACAGAGAACUGUCUGAAAGAUGCUUAUAUGCAAUGGAAAGCCAUUUUACUCUGUUUUUACUUGUUUUGGGUUAGUGCUUUCCACCAAGUUAAGCUUGGUGGAUAGUUUGGCUCCUGACAUUUAAGGGUAAUUUUGAUCUUGGUUUAAAGUCACAUUCACACCACACUCAAACACUGAUGGAAGAGGGUGCUGUGUAAAGCAUCUAUUAGUAUUAAUUCAUCCUACUUACACACUGCUGACAGGUUAGGGGUUAGUCAGUAUGUUUAUAUAUUGGUCAAGAAAUUGAUUUGUUGCUUUAGUGUGACUGAAACUGAAAUUACUCCAAAUCAAACUUCUUAAAAAUGCGUAUCUAGAUAAUACAGUUGGGGAUUGAGGGUUCUGUACAUGCUCAAGAGUUAACUGCUGAGCUUUGGCCCAAAAAUUUAAAAAGUGCGUAAAUACGUUCCUAAAAAGUCAAGUAGGAAACAAAACCUUGGCAGAUGAAGAAUUUGAGGGUCAAAAGUCAAAUCUGUCAUAUCAUACAAAAAAAAAGGGAACAGAGAUGUUAAAGUGAUGAUGUUUUCAUUGUUUGAUGAACAUCUUGUAAGCCGCUUGCCAACCGGUGCAUGUAAACUGGGACAUGGACAGUGGUCAAGGUCAAACCGCAGUUUGACUUAACUGUGCACGUAAAAAUUCUGAGUGUUUUGACCAAUAGAAACUUUGUGGACUGUGCAAUGAUUGAAAGACGAUUGACUUUACCACUGAGCAACAGUGCACUACACCUGCAACAAUUUGUGUACAUCAGUGACUUGAAAAAUCAAAAGUGCAGAUACUUAAAGCUUCUGUAAAGAACUUUUGGUUUGCAUUGAUAUUGGAACCUCCUGUGGAAAAAGUUAUACUUCCUAUAUAUAUUCUCUUGUUCAUGUGAAAGUCGUAUUUUCAGACAAAAACCUUAUCCUGGUGUCAUUUAAUAAACAAAUGUGUCACCUACUGUGAUUAUUUGCUGUAUACAAAAGUUUUUAAAAAGCUGUUUUUUUUUUUCCAGCCUGCUGUCAUCAUUUGAUCUGACACCUCCCCCCUCACCGUGAGUGUGAACAAAGCAAAAAUCACACAGGGAAAUUCCCCCAAUUUUGUUUGCUUUUGAAAGUCAGAAAGAGGAUUUAGUGUCAAAUUUCAUAACCAGUUAAAACUCCUUACAUUGCCUUUAAUUUUCAAAAUUUGAGCCUACUUUAGAAUUAUUUUGAUUCAUAGACUUUUGGAGGAUGAUCUGCAAUCUGGUAUCUGAAACUGACGAUUUAAAAAUAAUCACAACAGUAUUCAGCAGCAGUUUCUCCUGUCUUUAUAAGUGAUUUUAUAAACAUCAACUGUCUGAACCACAAAUUAAACAUUUUAAAACCCAUUUGAUAUCAUUGUAUUCAGUCUGAGCAAACUGCAAAAUUUUGUUCUGUUCACUUAAAGCUCCGAAACCGACUGUAUGCUACUCACUCUACAUUAAUCAGAGGGAGACAGAGUCAGCAACUGGCUUCUGAAAAGGUCUCACAUAAAGAUGUCUGUAGCAGUUGGUAGAUCCCAAAAAUGGAGCCAACGAGGAGCGUUUACAGAACUUCAGGUAUUAUUAUCAAAACUCUGAGACUGCAACAGGGGCAAUGUCUGAAAUUUCAAACAUACCAAGAGCUGCCAUAUGGUACCCUGUCGUCUGCUAAACUAUGUGAUGAAAGCCUCACGCUUGAAUUUGUCUGAAGAAAUGGCUGAAGCAAGGUUUUCCAUUUUGACUAGUUUGCAUCAAUAAAGGGCGGAGUGUCUCUGUCACUCUUUUUAACGAAGCCAAGCCUUCAUCAGCAGCAGAUCAGGAAUGUUGAGCAGUUGUGGUCCAACUUUUAAUGGGUGUGUUUGCUUUGUUGUGUUUUUAUAUUGUUAAAUUCUUCCUCGCUGAAGUCCGUGUUUAAGGGAUUAAGGUCAUAUGUCUGUGUCGGAGGUUAGUCCUUUAUUGGUUGGUCCAUAUGUGCUGGUGUUUGUCUGCGGAGAUCUGAAAGGCCUUCAGGCGUGCGCUAACAGCCGCUCAAGAAGGCUGACGGCUGAGCAGCAUGUGUUGCAGCAGCUGCUUGAGUGAUAUGUGGUGUUUGGAGGCUGUGUACAGAUUCAUAGAGGUCUGUCAGGCUAAAUACUGAAGUUACCUGAGUAUAAUUACAGUUCUCAAAGCAAACAGUCCAACCCUAAUUGACUUAAAUGUCAGUUAAGUGGCUGAGACCAUGAGUCUGGGGGAAGAUGUGUAGGCCUUUCUUUUUUAUGGGCUGAAAUGAUCAGCCUUGCUGUUCCUCAGGUCUUCGUACGGCCAAGCAUAAUGAAGGCCACAGUAAAUGUCUUUAUCACUGGAGGCUUUACAGAUUCGAGCAGUUAAAGCCUCUUACUGUUACUAUCUAUUAUUGCGGCCACAAAACUUCCAACCUGAUGUUUUGUUUGUAGUUAAGUGUUAUGGCGGAUAAGUCCAUGUUGCAGGGACACCCCAAGGCAUUGACUUGGGGCCACCGAACAUCUGUUUGCGAGAAAAAGUUCUAAAUAAAAUGUCCACUUUCUAAAUGUUUGACUUGAAAAAAAAAAAAGAAAGAGAAAUAAAACAGAUAACACAGAUUUUUUUUGCAAAGUUUUAAAUCACAAGCUGGACGUAUGUUAUCAUGAUUUUAGAAAAUAGAUGUAAACUGCUCAAAUUUUUGACAAAUGUGCAAAAAUAUGAGACCGUAGUUCAUGUGCGAGGUUUGCAAAAAUUCUGACGUAAAGAUUAUAGGCUCUCCUUACUGUGUGCUUUCAGCAAAGUGGUAAGGCCUAACUCCAACAGUGUCUCAGACGGAGGCUGAAAUAAUUAUAUUUUAAUACACCCUUGUGAGAAAUUUAAGGCUUUUUUUAUCUGAAAAUAAAGUAAAGCUAUUGAAAAGGUAUCAUAAAGGCACUGGAAGUCAGUCAGAUUUGCAGCUGCACUGUAACUUAUGGAGGGCUUAUGCAGCUUUGAAAUGAUAAUUGUUAUGUGUGGCACAUGUAAUGAAGAACUUUUCAAAUCAAACAUUCAGAUACCUCUCUGCAUAACGGAAACUCAGGGGUAGCUUUACAUACACUCACACUCACAGCACUGUCCCACCCUGCCAGCUCUGUUUUACAGUGACGCCAUUGAACUCCUGUUAAUCCUUCGCUGUCAGCUCAGCAUCAGAUGUGGAGGCGGCUUCAAACUUUUUGGUUAGCACUUCUUUCCUCUUUUUAUUGAAGACUAAAUGUGAAGGUGGGAUCAAGUUGGCCGCUGUUGCAGUUGCAGUGCAGUGGACUGUGUGUAAAAAGGUCAGCAGGAUUGGUGCCUAUUUGACAUGAUGGAUGACUUCAAUCUUACUGAUUAAAGGAACAUACCCCCCCAUAACACUUCAUUUAACAUUUUACUCAUCUGACAGGACCAAAAAAGUGGUGGGAAGCGAUUUCACUGCACAACAGAAAAGUUUACUUCCCCCUAAAAAAGAAAAUAAUACAAAAGGAUGUGUAACUCUGAUUUAUUUAAGAGAAAAGUUGAUUGUGUUUGUUGUCUGAGAAAGAACUGAAUCAAAGAUUUUAAUGUUUCAAACUCCAUCCUAUAAGCAAAACACUGUGAUGGGAUCAAUGACUGUACCAGUGGAAAAUACUGAAGAAAAACUAAAAAUAGAAGAUUUGUUUGCAGCUUUCCUCUAUAAUCUAGCAACUGUUUCACUGUUAAUCACUUGUGCGUCACUCUGGAGUUUCCAGCCGAACAAAUCAACGCAAAUCCCCGGAAGAGGACCUCGAAUCAGAGGAAAUGAAUCCUUAAUCUUGUUUGGUUCUGUUCCAAAUAACUUAUCACCCCCCAUUAUCGCUUCUCCAAGUUCUCAAAGAGGAAGUAAUUUGAAUGGAUAGUUCCUGCCAACUCAUUUCCUGUAUUCUGAUAUUUCCUUUUUUCAGACUGUGCCGUAUUGCUGAGCUGCUCUGAGGGGACUCCGCUCGCCGGGUUCCUGAUCAAAUCCUCACAGUGGAG